CUUUUCAGGCCUAGAAUGGAAUCUCCCGCCCAGGCGCCGCUGAGGAAGGCAACGCGGACGGGACCAUUCGCGCACCCGAAAGGGGGGGGGCGCAGAAGCUGGCGAGGAGGAGGGCACUGGGCAGCCAAAGCCAGCGCCUGCCGAGGCGAGGACAUCUCUAGGAAGGAACCAGUAGAGUCAGCAGCACAAGUCAAAAUGCAGAGCUCAUCCAUCCACUCUGGAUCUGUCUUGUCCUCAGCAGUGAUCACUCCAUCAGUAAUAGCAACAAGUUCAGCCGUUAUUCAGCCUGCUGUGAAUGGAUCAAUUCCAGAAUCAGCUGUCGAUUGCAAUAAUUCUGCAUCCAGUCUGGUGGAUUCUGUGCCUUCUAAUGACUCACUGGUUCCUCUGGAAGAUAACUUGGCAAGCCCUAAAGAGAAAACUCCGAUGUGUCUGGUAAAUGAAUUAGCUCGUUUCAGUAGACUCCAGCCUGUUUAUAAGUUUCUGAAUGAACAAGGACCUGCUCAUGCAAAGACAUUCACAGUGCAGCUGACUCUUGGAGAUCAGACGUGGGAAGCUGAAGGAAGCAGUAUUAAAAAGGCACAUCAUUCUGCUGCAAGAAGAGCUCUGAAUGAAAGUACCCUUCCCAGACCAACACCUAGACCACCCAAAAACGAUGUUAAUAGUAAUCCAGGCAGUAUUACCCCAACAGUGCAGUUGAAUGGUCUUGCUAUGAAAAGAGGAGAGCCUGCCAUCUAUCGGCCACUAGAUCAAAAACCAGCUCCAAAUUACAACUUUCGAGGCAUGUACAAUCAGAGAUAUCACUGCCCAGUGCCUAAGACUUUCCAUGUCCAGUUGACUGUAGGUGACCAUGAGUUUUUUGGAGAAGGGAGGACUCGCCAAGCUGCUAGACACAAUGCUGCUAUGAAGGCACUUCAGGUUCUUCAGAAUGAACCAAUUCCCCCCAAAUUACCUGAGAAUACAGAAUCAAAUAAAGAAGCAGAAGAGGAAAAAGAUGCAAACAAAUCAGAGAUCAGCAUAGUGUUUGAAAUUGCAUUGAAGCGCAACAUGCCUGUUAGUUUUGAGGUAACAAAGGAAAGUGGGCCACCGCACAUGAAGAGUUUUGUUACUCACGUGUCAGUAGGAGAGUUCUCUGCCGAGGGCGAAGGAAACAGUAAAAAGCUGUCAAAGAAGCGUGCUGCAAUAGCUGUCCUGCAAGAACUUCAAAAACUGCCACCUCUUCCUGUGAUUGAAAAACCAAAACUUCAAUUUAAAAAACGACCCAGAAUAAUGUUAAAGACUGGACCAGAAUAUGGUCAGGGAAUGAACCCUAUAAGCCGCCUUGCCCAGAUUCAGCAAGCCAGACGAGAAAAGGAACCAGAGUAUCUUCUGCUUUCUGAAAAAGGAAUACCUCGUCGCCGAGAGUUUGUCAUGCAGGUCAAAGUGGGAAAUUAUAUCACAACAGGAAUAGGCCCAAACAAGAAAAUAGCAAAAAGAAAUGCGGCCGAAGUUAUGUUGCUACAGCUUGGCUAUAAAGCGUCUUCUCCAUUUCAAGAGCAGCCAGAAAAGUCAGGAGAGAUCAAAGGUUGGAAUGGCCAAAAUGUUGGGUAUCCUGAACCAGCAAAUGACUCUCCAAAGGGAAUUCUUCAUCUGUCUCCUGAUGUUUAUCAAGAAAUGGAAGCUAGCCGCAACAAAGCAUCCCCUGGUACCCCUGUAAACUAUUUAUCAUCCAAGGAAAUGAGCCAAAUGUCUAGUUGUUUCUUCAGCAUGCCUCCUACCACUAACUGUACAGCUGCAAUUGCCAGAGAACUGCUCAUGAAUGGAACAUCCCCAACUGCUGAAGCGAUAGGUCUAAAAGGAAUGUCACUCACCUCCCCUUGUUCCACAGUGCAACCUUCAAGGCAGCUGGAAUAUCUGGCAAGGAUCCAAGGCUUUCAGGUACACUACAGUGACAGACAAAAUGGAAAAGAGUGCAUGACCUGUUUGACACUGUCUCCUGUGCAGAUGACUUUCCAUGGUAUUGGAAGCACCACUGAAGACAGCCAUGAUCAGAGUUAAUGUCAACUGAUAAAUUAAAACGGUCACCAAAGUUGAUGUGGAUAGCUGCCAGAACAUGGGUUACCAUGCCACUAACAUCUCAGUUAUAGACUUCCCUCAAAAGAAAGUAAGGAAGAAUGUUUUCUCUUCCUAAAACGGCAAAAACAUUUUAAUUCCACAAGGAUUUUUAAAGACAAUUUUAUUGACACUCUUGUGUUUGUUUUAAAUGUUAUUCUGUAUUCUGUGUUGGUUUUAAAUGUUAUAUUAUGUGGGUUUUUAAUUGUCAUUAUCAAAUAUGUUUGUCAUUAUUGUGAAUUGCAAAGAAACGGAUGUGUGAAAUUGCUGAGACACUGUGUGCUGUGAAACUAAAUAAAAGGUAUUUUUAAUCCAAUAAUUAUUUUUUCAGCCUUGAUUCUUUUAAGAGCUCAUCAGAAAAUAGCUUGACUAAAAAGUGAAAUUGUUGAUUUUAUGCUUUUAUUCUAGAAACUGAAACCAUAAAAGUUGGAAAAGCUCUUGUACUUUUUAAUAGCUUCAGAAAAGAUAGAAAUAGUAGAAGUUGGCGGGAUGAUUUGCUUGUUUGUUGUAUUCUUCAGUUUUGAAGAAAAUGGAAGUUUCAGCAAAAUCCAACUGCCAACCCCCCUAUAAUUUGUGAUUGAUCUUUUCUUCUAUACAUCUAUCUAUUGAAAGGGAUAUUCUCCUCUGUGCUGAUCUGUGUGUUUAAUUUACUUAUCAUCCACUUCCCCCCUUCAUAUAAAUUUAUGUUUUCUUAUUGUCAACAACAAGUCUCCAGGAUGUUGACAUGGCUAUACACAAGAGAUGUCUGGGCAUACUAGUUGAGCAAUUCUGGAAACUGUAUACCAAAAAAGGAACUUUUUCAAGUUCAGUAAAUAGUUUGAGUAAAUUAUGGCCCAAAUGUCAAUUCUGCAGCUAACUGAUCUAAUCUCUGUGAGUUUAACCAGUUUUUCCUUUGCUCCGAGAAUUGCUCAAUUUUAGAAUUAUAUAAAUCUGUUCCACCCACAAAAACACAUGUAUCGUUUCCUUGAUCACUUAACAUUCCUAACAGUAGUUUGUGUUUUUGCCAUGUAAGAAAUAAUUGUUAUCUUGCCAAGAUGUUAUUUGUCAUACAGUUAUUUUUUUCUCCCACUUGUCACUCAACUAAAUUAUAUGCUCCCAUAUGAUAGGUUUAAACUGGACAAACAAGAUUGCAUAGUAUCUGGAUUAUACAAUCAUUUUGCAUUUUCUGGGUCUAGUUAUUAUGAUGUAGACAAGUUUCAAAGCCACACUUUAUUGUAAAAUUUAUCUACUCGGGUUUUAAGAUCAUUGUGAGGGACCCAUCUCUUGAUCCCACUGUUUUUAUAGGCAUGUCCGGUCAUGAUGCCUUUUUUGUUGACUACUCCCAAAUGGCUUUUGGGGGGCUGCUCGCCAGAUUCUGGAAUUUCCUUUCAUGAACAAAAGGUUGAAUACCUUUCUCUGGUUCUCUUUCCAGCAGGCAGACCCUUGCCAUGUAAGCUAGUGAGCUGUUUUGGAAGAAAUAGACUAUCUGGUUGGUUACUAGCUAAAACUUUUAUUAUUGUGGCUCUGAAUUACACUUAGACUUCUUUUUUACUUUUCACUCAUUUUAAUUUAUUUGUGUCUAUCUGGUGUUUUUGUCAAGAUCAUGUUUUAGUCCAUAUUUUGUUAAAAUUUGACAUCUUAAACACUUUUAUGAUCAAAAUGUAGGCUAUAAAUGAAAAAAUAAAAUAAACUUCAGACUGUAGUAAUACUAAAACAUUCUACUCUGGCCAAACCUACCACAUUAUAGUGCUGCAAUGCAAAUAAAUCAAAAUCACACAAUAUAGUUAAUGAUGUCCUUUAAUUGAUAUCGGAAAGUUAAGAAAGAAUAACUUAAAAAACUAACUUAAAAUAAGUUUAUUUUAAUUGCAGAGUGGUUUUAGAUUUUACAAACAGGUGGUCUGCAGACAUCAGUUUAUAACACUUAAAAAACCCGUCCCAUUUUUUUUACUAUUUCUCAUUUGUUACAUAGUCCAACAUCCUGUAUUUUAUUGUCUUCUUUGAGAAUCCCUUAUAAAUUUACUCGUAACUUCUUCAAAAUUUGUAUUUGUUAUCUUUGCUAUUAUUAAUGCCAUGUGCAUUGGAUCUUGUAAUUACUAUCUUCUGGUCAAAUACAAUUGCCAAUUCAAAUUAAAAUGUAAUAUGUGUGUGAAAUGGCAAACAAAAUCUACUCUUACUGAUAUUUCAGCAGUAAUAGAACUUCAGUGACCAAGUUCUCGCAGAACUUAGAAAGUUCUUGUUUGGACUACAAUUUUCCAGAACUCCCAAUCAGUAUAGUUAAUCAGUGAUGGUGGUUGUAAAAUUCUGUAGAGUUACAGUGUAACAAAGAAUAUUUACCAAGUUUACCAAACAAUUUUUCUCAAUAAAGUUAUUUUACAUAGUACUUUUCUGGUAAAAUGAAAUUCCACCUAGACAGAAGGAAAAUCCCUGAGUGAUUCAAAACAGGAAAACCUUUUCUAUAUCAUUCUUUCCUUGCCAUUCUGACAUAGGGGAAGAACUGAGAUUGCUCGGGAAGGGUAGUUUGAGUACAAGUUGUUCUACAGUUUCUAAUACCUGGUCAUUAGAGAAGUUGCUAAGAGAUUUCUCAUGCCAACAUAAUUUAGAGCCUCAUAAUUUAGCCUGAUGUUUAAAAUUAAACUGGGGGUGGAUGGCCUCACUGCAGGAGAAGCAGACAGAUGGUUUAAAGCCUUCAGCUUCCCCUCCAAACCAGCCCCCUCGUGUUUUGUGCUGUCAGAGUUUCUGAUAAGUCUAGCUGCUAACACUGUUGUCAUAACAAAAUAGUUUGCCAUUCAUUAAAGCACUGUCUCAUACCUAGUCUAUCUUUUGGUUUUAUUGCCCAAAACAAUGAUAAUACAGCAGCAGCAGCAAUAACUGACAAGAGUGUGUGACCCAUGUACCCCCAAUACAAACAAUUAGUGUAUCCUAGCCCAUAUAUUUAUUUAUUUGUUUGUUUGUUUAUUUAUAACAUUUAUACCCCGCCCUUCUCACCCGAGGGGACUCAGGGCGGCUUACAAAAAUUGGCAAAAUUUAAUGCCCAAAGAAUACAAUCAUAAAAGCAAAACAAUACAUAUAGAUCCGUUAAUAAAUUUGUUAAAAUACAUUAUAAAACCUUAAAAACAUAUAUAUUAAUUAAUUCCAUUCGUCCAAGAUCCUCAUGCUUCAUCCUUAAAUCAGGCCAAUAUAUCCUCAUACCUCGCAAAUAAGUGAGGUGUUAAAGGAGUACAACAACUGCCUGUGCUGUUGUUUAUCUCUGUGUGUGUCCCUGGGCAGAUCUACCUUGACCACUUAUCCUAGAGAAGAUCCACAUGAUGUAAGCUGGAUCGGUCCUUGGAUGGUUUACACAGCUACAGAAGUGGGAAGGAGUCAUCACUGCUCAAUGGUGAUGAACCCAGUUCAACACUGCUGGAUGGCCACCUUUCCCCUCCCCUCCCAUUCUCCUUGUUGUAGCAGUAUCCAGGUGCAUCAUGGGUCCUACCGACUGGUUGUUCCUUGGAGUGACAUCGGCCAGGGUGCCAGAAUAACAGAAGAGGGGAGAAAGGAGGCAUUGCCUCCUCUCUCCCCUCACUUCUCUGAUCUCUUUGUCAUUCCAACCAACUUCAUUCCAGGCGGCAAACAACUAGCAGCACGCACGUUGCACCUGGAGACCGCUACGACAAGGAUAGCAGGAGGGGAUGGUACCAUUCUGUGUCCCUGUGCUGUCCAAGCCCAGAAAACAUAGAACAGUCAUGUAAACCAUUCCACUGGUCCCAUUGUGUACCUGCACUCAAAUUGUGGUGGCUCAAAAUUCUGCCCCAAAUUCUGUGUAUUAAACCAAAUCAGUUCUAUGUGUAGUUUGACUCCAUGGAGCUGAUUCGAGCACCCUUUGCGCUAAGUGAUCAGUGUAGAUUUGCCUCCUGUUGCAGGUCUUCCAUAUGGCAGUGCGCUCCUUUUUUGUGAACCUUAUGAGGGCACAAACUUUGACAGAACAAAUUUAGCACAUGUUUAUGCAGACAAGCCAUAAACAUUGAUUUCAAUGUUUUAGCAGCAGGACACCACUCAAGAAGGCUGAUGCACAUUAGGGAAAUUGAGGAAAUUUCCCAACAGCAGAAUGUGUUUGUGGUGUAGAGGACAUUUAAAGAUGGCCAAUUGAAGUUACAAGAGAUUUCAUUUGAAAAUUGUUGAUAAAUCAUAAAUUAACCAGUCACUAGACCCUGAUAACUUAGAUCUGAGAAUUCUUCAGAUGUGAAACAAUGAUCUAGUAUCAUGGAAGUAGAGAUCCAGCAUGACUGAGUGUUGGGCAGUGACUCUGAAAACAGUGGUUGAAAUCUCCACUCAGCCACAGAAAAAGUUCUCAACACAAUGUGAAUGUGGCUGUGGAAAGUGAAAAAUUACAAACCCAUGGUCAUUUUCCUUAUUUUUUCCAAUAGUUAAAGAACACGUGUUUCAGCGGCUUUCUCAAUUCGAUCAUCAGCUCAGCAUGCAAUAUCAUAAAAGAAAGAUUAAUUGCAUGCUAAAGAUUCUUACUUACUUAGACGAUCCCUCGUAGGGAAGUCAUAGGGAGGAGGGAGCAAGCUUGUUUUCUGCUGCCCUGCAGACUAGGACACGGAACAAUGGCUUCAAACUACAGGAAAGAAGAUUCCACCUGAACAUUAGGAAGAACUUUCUCACAGUGAGGGCUGUUCGGCAGUGGAACUCUCUCCCCCGGACUGUGGUGGAGGCUCCUUCUUUGGAGGCUUUUAAACAGAGGCUGGAUGGCCAUCUGUCGGGGAUGCUAUGAAUGUGAUUUCCUGCUUCUUGGCAGGGGGUUGGACUGGAUGGCCCAUGAGGUCUCUUCCAACUCUACUAUUCUAUGAUUCUAGGCCGAGGAUGAUGGUCCUCCAUUUGUGGGGUCUUGGGGGUGGGUCCGUAGGUGGCUGAAGAGACCUAUACUUGAUCCGCAUGUUCUCCCGUAAUGAGGACAUCGGUUUCCAGGUGGAAGGUGGUCCCAGUCAGAGUUGGCUUGAUGCUCCUUCCUCUUGGCACGUUUCUCCCUUAAGCCCUCCAUUCGUGCCUCUUCGAACUCCGCAGCACUGCUGGUCACAGCUGACCUCCAAUUAGAGCGCUCAAGGGACAGGGCUUCCCAGUUUUCAGUGUCUAUGCCACAGUUUUUAAGGUUGGCUUUAAGCCCAUCUUUAAAUCUCUAUUCCUGCCCACCAACAUUUCGUUUUCUAUUCUUGAGUUGGGAGUAGAGUAACUGCUUUGGGAGACGGUGAUCAGACAUUCGGACAACGUGGCCAGUCCAGCGGAGUUGAUGGCAUAGGAGCAUCGCUUCAGUGCUGGUGGUCUUUGCUUCUUCCAGCACGCUGACAUUUGUCCGCCUGUCUUCCCAAGCAAUUUGCAGGAUUUUUCUGAGGCAAAGGUGAUGGAAACGCUCUAGGAGUUGAGUGUGACGUCUGUAGACCGUCCACGUUUCGCAGGCGUAGAGCAGGGUUAGGAGGACAAUAGUUUUAUAAACAAGCACCUUGGUAUCUCUACGGAUGUCCCGAUCAUCAAACACUCUCUGCUUCAUUCUGAAAAAUGCUGCACUCGCAGAGCUUAAGCAGUGUUGUAUUUCAGUGUCAAUGUUGACUUUUUGGAGAGGUGGCUGCCAAGGUAGCGGAAAUGGUCAACGUUUUCUAAUGUGACACCAUUAAGCUGUAUUCCUGGCAACACAGAGGGGUUUGCUGGUGCCUGUUUGAAGAGCACUUUAGUUUUCUCAAUGUUCAAUGAGAGGCCAAGUUUCUUGUAUGCUUCUGCGAAGGUGUUUAGAGUGGCUUGCAGGUCUUCUUCUGAAUGCGCACAGACUACAUUGUCUUCGGCAUAUUGGAGUUCUAUAAUAGAUGUUAUGGUGACCUUGGUUUUGGCUUUUAAUCUGCUGAGGUUAAAUAGCUUGCCAUCUGUCCGAUAGAUAAUUUCCACUCUGGUGGGAAGCUUCCCAUCAACAUGGUGAAAUAUCAUAGCGAUGAAGACGGAAAGUAAGGUAGGGGCAAUAACACAUCCCUGCUUGACACCUGAUUCCACCUUAAAUGGGUCACUUUGGGAGCCGUUGCUGUCCAAGACUGUUGCCAUCAUGUCAUCAUGGAGGAGCCGCAGGAUGUUCACAAAUUUGUCAGGGCACCCGAUUUUUUGGAGGAUGGUCCAGAGAGCACUGUGAUUCACUAUGUCAAAUGCCUUUGCAAGGUCAAUGAAUGCUAUGUACAGAGGUUGGUUUUGUUCCCUGAAUUUUUCUUGGAGCUGUCGUGCAGUGAAGAUCAUGUCCACUGUUCCUCUGGAGGGGCGGAAGCCAUUCUGGGAUUCUGGGAGGGUGUCUUCUGAAACAGGGAGAAGGCGGUUUGCAAGGAUUCUUGCGAGAAUUUUCCCAGCGGAGGUUAGAAGGGAGAUACUGCGAUAGUUCCCACAGUCUGUUCUAUCCCCUUAAUUUAAAAGGGUGAUGAUGUUGGCAUCCUUGAAGUCUGCUGGGAUUUUCUCGGUCACCCACCCCUUUUCAAUGAGCUGGUGGAGUUGUUGUAUCAGCUCAGGUCCACUCUCUUUGAAGAUUUCAGCAGGGAUCCCAUCGGGUCUUCUGACUUUGUUAUUUUUUUGUUGGCUGAUGGCAUUGCUGACUUCUUCCAAACUAGGCAAUGCUGCAAGCUCAUCCCUGGUUUGUUGUAGCGGGAUUUGUGAGAGGGCCUCUUCGGCCACAUUGGGGCUGCCAUUCAGAAGGUUCUGGUAGUGCUCUUUCCAACGUAGUGCAAUUGAUGUUUUGUCCUUCAGAAGUUUGGUUCCAUCUGAUGAGCGUAGAGGCUGUAUGCCAUGGUUUCUUGGUCCGUAGAUGAUCUUUGUGGCUUUGAAAAAUCCCUGAGCAUCAUGGGUAUCUGCAAAGUGUUGGAUUUCUUCAGCCUUCUUUGUCCACCAGAUGUUCUUGAGUUCUCUGGUCCUUCUUUGGACCUCAGCUUUUGCACUAGUGUAUGUCUUUUUCUUAGCAGCACAGCUGGUGUCUCUCUGCCAUGUUUGGAAGGCUUUCCUUUUGUUAUCAAUUAACUGCUGGAUCUCUUUGUCAUUAUUGUCAAACCAGUCUUGAUGUUUCUUAGUUUGAUAUCCAAUGGUUUCUUCACAGGCUGUGAUAAUAGAGGUCUUCAGUUUGUCCCAGUGUUCCUCAAUGUUUUCAGCGUGUUCUAUGGGUAGAUGAUCCUUGAGUGUUGUUUGAAGAAGGGCUCGUUUGGAGGGCUCCUGAAGGGCUUGGGUGUUUCAUUUUACGCCUUAUUUUUCACACAUAUCACAAUAUCGGCAUUAUGAGGUCUUUAGCUGAUAUAAUAAAUUUACUUUUGGAAUAAUGUACAGUUUUCAUUGCUCAGCAAAGAAAAAGAAUAUCAUGGAGCCAAAAAAAGCAACCAAGAUUUUAUCAUAUCUGUAUUUGGAAUUCCUGGUUAAAUUAAGACUGCCAUAUCUUGAUAUUUACUGACUCACAUAGUACAAAGGGGUUAACAAAGGAUUUUUAAUUUACCUUCAAAACAUUUUGAAUAUCUAUUACACUGGUCAACACACAUUUUGGUUCCUCAAAUGUUACACAUGUUUUGGGGUUUAUUUGACCUGAUUUCAGAAAUGGCAGCAGUUUCCUCUAUCAGGUCUAGUUUUUGAGAUACAUAGCAUAUGCCAUAUAACUCUUCAUCUCCUCACCUAUAAUAAUCUUGAUAGCCAUAGCUAAGAAACAGGAGCUGAUGCAGUCUGCAAUAUUCUGAAUCAGCACUCUAAAUAACCUGAGGAAUAAGACUAAAAACCAAGACACCAAUAAUUAUUUUUGUUGGGCUGUGUAAUCUAUUAUGACAUUUCAUUGUGCAAUAGAUAGUGAUAGUAAAGUAUGGAAUUCCAAAAUAAAUUAUGCAAUUGCCUUGUUCUGUUUGUUCAUAUGAGAAGAAAAUAGAAUGCAAACCAUUUUCCAUUUGUUCUAAUUGUUAGGAAAUGUACCCGUUGCUAUUUAGGCUCCCUUUUCUUUUUUAUUUAUGUGGACUACAUGGAAAGAUAAUUUAAUACUUUUUCCUACGUAUUUUUCCCCUUUACUGAGUAUUAUGUUUUCCUUUGGAACAGAAAUAUUUUGCUCUCAAACCUUUUAGUUUAUUUUUUUCUGGUUUUAUUUAUGGUGGUGAGUUGGAUCACACAUGCAUACCAGCUGACUUUUCCCUCUCAUAGGAUUCUUCUUGUACGAAACCAUCUGUAGCCAUUUUUUUUGUAAUCAUGGCAGCUAUACUUAAAGUGGCACAGUGUUUGUCAAAAUAGCAAUAGGGUGUAUCUGUAUAUGGUUAUGUACAGUUGGGAUUUAUUGUAUACAGUCUCACACACUGUGAUUAUAGAUUUUCACAAACCAGUAACAUGUAUUUUUACUGCUUUUCUCAUUAGUUCUUCCUUCUCAAGGAAGAGCAGCAUGCCUUCAGAAGCGUAUAAUUUAAAAUGGUAUAUUUAAGGGAAAGUUUGUAGAUGACAGCCAUAGCACCCAUUGUAUCUUACAAUAUAAUUACAGUGUGGCUGAAAAGAAGGCGGUUGUCUAAAGGUCCAUCUACACUGUUGAACUAAUGCAGUUUGACACUAUUUUAACUGCUAUGGUUCAAUGCUAUGGAAUCCUAGGAUUUCUUCUUUGGUGAAAGACAUAGAUGUCAACAGAAUUUCAUGCUAUAAUAAACUUAUUGGACUCAGACCCCAGAUUCGGUUGCUUUUGUUAUGGCAUUUACCCCUUGAGAAAUUGUUAAGAUUGUUUCUGAUAUCUUUUCUUAAACACUUCCGGUAAGGUAGACACCCCAAUGAGCCAUAAAACCUUGAAAUUGGCUCUAACAUUGAACGACUGAACAGCGGACAGAAAAAGAUUUUAUAUCAUAGAUAUCAUUAGAUCAGCUCUUAGGUAUUGCUCUUGCGAUCCUAAAAUAGUCUUUUCAUCAGAAAUGAUUCACUGCUCAGACUUUGAAUCCAAUACUCAAAUGCAUUAAUAAUUCGUCCUUGAAAAUUCUCAGAGCAUUUUUGUAUGCAUAAUAUUUGUGAGGAUUGACUUUUUGAAUACAUUAUGGCAUGCAGCAGUUGGCAACUUCACACCUGUUGAAGUGUGAUGUCAAGCCAGAUUUCAUGAGGCUAGAGAUGCUGCUUUUGGAACUUCUGGUAUAUUCUGGUAAAGCUUGCAACAAAUAGAAGGAAUCUCCUGGUUCUUUGUGAUCCUAAGAGGAAAUUGUAACCCUUUAAUAUAGUUUUUAAAAUAUUCUUAUCCUUGGAGUAAGCAUACCCAGCCUUACUUUUGGGCUUUUAUAACCCCUGCUAGUAAAAUUAGUUGUCCUGGAUAGAGAUUUGGAAAAAUUCAUCUACAGCAGGGAUGGGAAUUGUGUAGCCUGACUACAGUGUUGGGGUCUUCAGUGGUGUCUAGGGGAUCCCCACUAAUCCUGUCCCAAACCCCCAGCACCCCUCAGAAGGAAUUGGCCCCACAGUGUGUUUUAUCUGAAAGGAACUCUCGGGAAGAAACAACUUUAAAACAAUAUAAUAUGCUAUUCCACCCAAACAUCAGAAAAUAUUCCUCAGUGGCCUCAAAGAUGAUCAGGUGACACAUCACCAAAUGGUAAACAUGAUGGCACAUGUAUGGCUCUUCAAAUCUCUGGAGUGGCUAAAAUCAGCCUUCAGAUAGGACAAUGUCAUCUUUAAAACAUGGUGUAUGCCCUACCCAUUCUACCAUAACUAUAUUGAUUAUCUACUUAUUCAUUUACUUAUUUGUUAUGUAAAUGCUCCCCCCCCCCCCUCAACUAUUCUCUUGCCGGACUUAUUUCACACAUUCCUUGUUUAAUAGGUCAUGCUGAUAGUGGGUAGCCAAGGUCAUCCAGUGAGUUUCAUGGCUUGGUGGAGGAUUGAAAUUGGAUGUCCAAGCCCCAAUGCAAUGCACUAACCACUGAAGUGCAUUAGAAGUUUUGUUGAAUUUUCUAAUCAUCAUGUUAUCCCUAGGCAGAAAUGCAACACAUUACCAUAACAGUGGGUCCAUGGAAGGAUGUUGAGCCCUUUGCAUUCUUUCCUAUUAUUACUUCCAUAUAAGGUGUGCAUUGACCAAAAUGCUUUUUAAAUUAGUUUAGAGUAAGGGUAGGCAGCUGUGUCCAGGGGCAGAAAUCCAUUUUACAUAUGUACUGCACACAAGUGAACCUCAUUGUAUCAACUUUCAAAAAUUAGAGGUAAUGUUUUUUCAGUCAUUUUAAUCCUUUGGGCACUUUCUUUUUGGUUGAUAAACAGACUCAAAAAAAUUAAGUUAGGCCAGGGUUCUUCUUGGCAACUGACUAUGAAAAAUGGGAUUGGGACCUGCAUAUGAGACACAGGGACACUCCUUCUCCACCCUAGUUUAGAGUAUUUGUAUACUAAAGCAGUUACACUGAAUUUGAUAUAAGUCUGUUUGCAUAAGUUCUUACUAGGCAUUUAGCCUAGGAUAAAUCAAAAUCAGCCCUGACUCUGUCUCUUUUUUCUCAUCUCAUGCAAACACAAAUGUUUUCUUUAAUAAUAAUCAUUUAAAAAAACCAACCUCCCAUACCCACAAUCCUUAAAAUGUUCUGCUAGAGUGCGUUUUCCUAUUCAGGGAAAUAUAAAAUAAAUAUAAAUUCCUCACCAGAACGCCUCAUGUUCCACUACUUUCAGUCAUAAGAGGGCAACAAGAUUACACAUCUUUAGGUUCUCCAGUGGUGCAUUAACUAAACAAAAAAGACAACUUUACUUGUUUGGGAAGCUUUAUUAGAGAAGGAAUCUUUGAAGACCCCUCACACAAAAGAUUCUCCUAUGUUUAGACUUUAUAAUGUAAACAACUAAUUUAAUGCAUCACUAAUGAUCUACAAUAGAUGCCAUCUUACUACAUGACCGCAAGUAAGAAACUGAUGUAAUCUGAGAGAUAUUUCAAAGUAAUUAAUUUGGGAAUAGGAAAAGAACUUCUAUUGUGUAAACUUUCCUGCCUUCCCCCAACCCCCUUUUGAAAAAGAACACAAUUAGAAGCUGUAAUAGUGGUGCAUUUGCUCAAUAAAGGUACCAAGCCAUCAUACCCAUUGAUUACUAAAGUAUAAAGUGCAAAAAAAAUAUUAUGGCACAAUUGUUGCGGGUUGGUUUUUAUUUAAAUCUACCACUUAUUUGAAUUUUUAUUCUGAAAUAAUGACUACAUACUUUAACAUUUCUUUCAAACUAACAUUCUUUCCCUCCAUUAUUUUUAAUAGUAAAAGUGCAUUGUAAUAACAUCUCUGUAAUUGUCACAGAGACGUUUGUUGGCUUCUUUCCGUAUUUAUUAAAAUAGUUUGUUUUGCUUAAAAAAAAUCUAAUAACAUCUUAAAAGUAAUGUUUCUUUUUGGCACUUCUCCCUGUCCUUAAAUUUAUGUAUUAUGUUUCAUUUUCUAUUAUGUAGUACAUUAAUUUCCCUUCCUGGCCAUGUUUCCAGUACUCUUUCUGUACAUGUUCAGAAACAAGGACUUGUCCAAAUUCCAACUUUCACCCUGCUAUUUUUUUUAAUGAAACUGUUUAGGACAUAUUUUCAAGUGACUCUCCGGCUCAUAUAGGCUACAAUUCCUGGGAUUGAUUGGGUAGAGGGCUUGUUUGCCUUCCCUUUCCCAUUCCAGAACAUCUUUUCAAGCUGCUCACAUUCAACUCAAUUUACUAGUAGCUAUAUUCCCUCCAGUAGUGCUUAUGCAGUGCCAUCUUCUGAGAAAUCUUUAAUCUGUGCAAGACUUACAGCCUGCAAGUAUUAGAGAUACUCCUCUUCUGAGAAGCAAACUCUUUCCUCUUAACUUUGAAUAUGUUUUAAUGGAUUUUAACUGUGAAUUUUAAAACACUGUUUAUAUUUAAUUUUGUUUUAAUGUUUGCUUAUUUGUAUAUUUUAUAUUGUAUCCUAAUGCUUUUAUGUUAAGAGAGAUAAAGCAGGGUAUAAAUAAAUAUAAUAAUAAAUAAUAAUCCAAUCCUGUUGACUUUCUUUGCCCUGUUCACAUCUUCAAGCAAUAGAUGCAAUUACAGGGAGAAAUGAGUCUGUAGUUGCAUGGAAAUAAGAAUCUCCAAAAUCAUAAACAAUAGGGGCUUUUAAAGAAAAAUAGAGUUGAAGCAUAAUUUCUUUGGCCAGUGAACAUAUUGAGUAGAACCUGAAUUUCCCAUUUAUCUCCAACUUACCGGAUACUGCAAGUUUUAUAAGUGCUAUAAAGGUUUUCUAAAUCAAUCCUCUACAUUAAGAAGAUUUAGGAUGAUGUUAGUGAUGAAUCUUUUGAGGAAGAAAAUCAAUUGCAUUUACUUGCUACGCAAAAUAGCCAAGUAUGUUCUCUGUGUGCUUAAAUAUAAGCCAUAGAAGAAGUAAGUAAUAAGCCUAAAGUGAUUUGAUGAAUAUAAUGGUUGUCUGCAACAUAUAUUGUUGCUAUUUUAAUAUAAUUUGAGAUCACUUUAACUGCUAUGGCUCAUUUAAAGUGGAAUCCUGGGAUUUGUAGUUUGUUCAGACCACGGCACUCUUUGGAGAAAAGGCUGGCCAUGAUUUAUUUUUUUUUACAACUUUGAGCCAUUGAAGUUAAAGUGUUGUCAAACUCUAUUCAUCUAUAGUGCAGAUACACCCUAAGUUGCAAAUAAAAGUGAUUUGUUUUUAAUCAGUGAGGAAUUUGUUCAUGUUUCUCUUCUUACUGAUUCUAUCUUGAAUGUGGUGUUCAUUGCUUUAUUUAUCCUAUCUAUGAGAGUUUUUGGAUAGAAGUUUGAGAAUUGGGCAAAAGUUCCUUUUCUCAUUUAUGUUUGGCACUAGACCUCUAGUAAUAUAGAUUUAUAAAGACAAAGGCACAUGUAAGAAUUGAAUAACUUUAGGGUUCCCAAUCUGUGAAGUUGGUAUUUAGAGUACACAGGGAACUGUUGGGGCAAGGGGGAACUCGCUGUUUCUGUCAGAGGCGUUAAAAUCCAAUGGGAACUGCAUGUGGGAGUCUUCCUGAUUGGAGUCUUCCCAUGAUAACUUGCUUUUGGACAAUGGAUGUUAGAGGAGUUUCAGCCUACAGGGAAUUCCUAUCAUGAAAAGCCAUCCGUAUAUGGACUAGUCAAGGGACUUUAAAAUAUUAUGAGAAAAGGAAGCAAGGUUUUAAAAUCUUACCCUGGCUUUAAAGGGAGCCAGGAGAUAUACAAUAUAUAUUUAUAACAGUGUCUUCAUUAAGAGAACACAUGUAGUUCUUGUUUCUUCUGGUCUGGGAUGCAAAGAUCCACUUUGAUUGUGCCCAAGAGUUUUUGCAUGUUUUUGCAUUGCAUCCCAUUACAGUGGGCCAUUGGUAUCUGGUGGGAUGUAGUUCCAUGGAUAUUCAAGCCCAUGUAGAUGGCCUAAGUUGAUGUUAAUACUCCAAUUUAAACCAAUGGUUUGUUUGAAAGAAAACUUAAAGUUACCCCUUUUCAUUAAAAGAAAUUCAAUGUGAUUCUUGAAUUUAAGUAGUUGCUAACAUGGUAUACCCCAAAAUGCUUUUGAGACUCCUAUUUGGAUUGUGGUAUUAAUAGCUACAGUUCAAGAAAUAGAAGUCCAAACACACAGUUCUUUAAACUAUAACUGAAGUAAACCAUUUAAUAAGGGUUAUUUCCAUCUGAUAAGAAUGAUAGUAGCAUGACGUGUUUUGUGUUCCUUGCUUCCCAUUGCUUCCCUUCACUUCAGUGGUUUUCUUAAACCCCCCUCUCAACAUUCAGCUUUCCAUAAGCAUUGAGAGUAGCCACUGAGGUAUGGGGUGUGGUGGGGUCCUCCACACAUAGAUUACUCCCUCCCCACUCCAAAAAAUAUUUUUUUGUAGAAUUUGAUUUGUUGAUAGGUCUUCCCAAUGCACUAUGGACUAUGCAUUUAUUCCAUCAGCUAUCAUGUAUUACAGCAUACUACUGGCAGUUCUGUCUAUACAAUUCCAUAAGAGUUGUUAUUUUGGAAAGCAAUGCUCCAUUUGCCUCUAGUGUUAUCCUAUUGUAUUAUAAUAUUAAAAUAUGAACGGAUACUUGUAUUUGGUGGGAAAUUUUGAUUGUAUAAUCCUUUGUUCUGCUAAUUCAAGUUAAAAUGCCAAUGGCAUAUACAGGUUCAUGAAGAUAUGGAUAAUAUUUAAACGAGUCUUUUUGCUGAGGUAACAUGUCAUAAGUUUUUAAACCAAGAAUGAUAGGAGCUACUGCUGCACUUUCAUGUUCAGUAGCAUGGAAAAAAAAUUACACUACAGCUGGAAUGAUCAAACUGAACUAAUUUUGCAUUCUAGUUCUGCUUGACAGGACACUCAGAGGCACUUGGAAAUUAUUAAGCUCUGCAGUGUGUUCAGUGGAUUUAACUUCCUCAGGAAGAUGGUUUUAUAAAAGGUUUUACAAUGUGAAAAUUUUACAGCAAAAUUUGAGACCCUUGAUUUGUUUUUAAUUUCAUGUACAUGGUUUACAAAUUAGUAUCCUUAGUUUUUAAAAUAAUUAAUCCACAAUGUGGUGUCACAUACAUAUUUCUGUCAUUGAUGCAAACAUUUUUUUUACAAGUGAGAAGACAGUUUAUAUAUUAAAAUUAAGGGAGUUUUUUUCCUUUUAAAUUGUUAGAUUUUAUUUUAUGUAUUUUUAAUGAAUUAAUGCAAACUGGCAUUCUAUCUUUGGGGUAUAUGCAUUACUCCAACAUCAGUUUUCUAAAAUAAUAAUAAUAAUAACUCAAUAGUUCUCUUACUAUUCAGACAAGCCCAGCCUUGUUAAUUCUCCAUAUUUGGGAAUAGUGUCUUGAGUGGCAGAACUUAAAUGUGUUAAUUCAUAUACUAAUUUAUAUUUUGUAUUGGGAUGAAAACAGACACAGCAUGACAAGCUUUGCAAGAUUCGGUGGCAGAAAGCCUUAAUGGACCGAGGCAGAGCUAUAUAACUUAUAAAACACUGUUCUUUCUUUUUAAGACUUUGAUUUUUAUGUAGGGUAGCUUGGAGUAUGUGAUGCUUGGCAGCCAUUUCUUUUCAUAUAUGAAGUGGCAGUGGAGUGUUUUGAACAAUCUCUAAUUACUUUUGCAAAGUCAGCUUGACCCUUUAUGAAAAACGGUUAUUUUCCCCAGGGAAAAAAUCCGCAAGUUGUUUAUAUAAUGAGACCUACUAACUGAUAGUUUUUGUUCAAGAUAACAUUAUUUUGCCCUACAAUUUUGUUUAGAUCAAGUUUGUAUAACUUCAUACCAAGGGUUGGAACUUGCAUGACUGAAUAUUCCUUAGUUCUAGAAAUUUUCUCUAAUUAGAAGACUAAGGGUCAGGGGAAAGGACUCUGCCUAGUUUUCUGUGCAAAAGAGUUUGGUCUAUUUUCUUAUUAGAAGAGUAAUGUUUUGUGAAUUCUGAAGUAGUUCCAAUAGCUGUACUGACCACUAUUAAACACAUUGAGGAACCACAGAUGCUGAGGAACUGGGAACAGUGGUAAGAUGUGAAAGAACACAAUUCUACAUGCCAUGUAGCCCAUCCUGUAUUCCCUAUCUCAGUGCAUCUCAAGCUAUCUGAUGUGAGUGAUCAGCAGAAUUUUCCCUUUAAUGUGCCUGUACCAUAUUUGUGAAUAUGAUGUACAGUUAUAUCUUUGUUCUAUAAAUUUGCCAAGGACUGGUAGCCAGUGGCUCAUGGAAGGUCACUGGUCUGUGGAUUACCAUGUUGAGUAACACUGCUGUAAAUUAGACAGCUGCACUUGGGUUCAGUACACGACAUCAUCCCAUUAGUAGUGUCAAAAUGAGAUUCAUAUCCCAGUCUGAUCUGUUUAUUUAUAUGGAACUAGCUGUGCCCGGCCACGCGUUGCUGUGGCAAAGUGGUGGUGGUAUUGGUUAAAAAUUGUUGUGUAAUUUUUAUUUGAUGUUAUUUGCAAUUUUUUAUUAAUUUUAUUGUAAGUUAUAUUUUUAUUUAUUAUAUUUUAUUAUUUUCUUGUAUUAUUUUUAAUUAUUUUAUGUUAUUAUAGUAUUUUAUUGUAUUAAUUUUUAGUGUUUUUUAUUAUUUUUAUUGGGUUGCUAGGAGACCAAGUUGGAGGAGCUUAGCCUUCUAACUGGCAGCAAUUGGAUAAAAGCAAUUAUUCCUCUCUCUCAAAUUAGGACUUUAUUUUUCUUUUCUUUUUGUUGUAUCAACCUGGACGCGUGGAUGAUGGGUUGUGUUGUCAAAUUUCGAGGUUGGGGGGCCUGUAGUUUUGUUGUUUUGUGGGUCGCCAUGAUGCCAUCACUCUUUUAUAUAUAUAGAUAGGAUGGGUGCCAUCUUGCCCUUGGCUUCACACAGCAAAACUAUCUUUGGCCAGCCCUGACAUUAGUAAGAAUAAGGCUCAAAUACAAAAGUAUAAAGAGGAGUGUAUUAUGCUUGUGUCUUUGAGCAGUAAUCACUAACUAAACCGCAUUAAGCCCUUCAAAACUAGAAACUGUUGUACCUCAUAAACGGAGAACAGUAGCCUUACAGUGGCUGCUUUAAUCCGGAGUUACAACUAGCUGAUUUAACAGCUUAUGCAGCCAUUCUUUUGGUGCAUUCACAUUCACUCUGCUCAUAUGAGUCAUGAAAUCUAAUAUAUUUACGAAAGCUUUUGGCUUAUAAAGGGCAACACAGAGUAGGCACGUGUUGUGGUAGGAAAGCUUCUUGGGAAUGAUUGAGAAACCUGUUGAGAAAAUAGGCAACUAUUGACAGGUCUGAUUCAUGACUGAGUGACUGUUCUGCUAGUCUUCACAUGAUCCCCACAGAGAGAAAGCUUUGACCACCUGCUAAACAAGGUCUGUUUGAAGUUUCUUUUUAACAUUUCCAAGACGUUAAUUCAGCAGGACAGCUCCACUGGGGUUCUCAGUGUCACCAAAUCAGCAGCUGUUGAGGUCCAUUCACUUCAGCAUGAAAUGUUUGUAGAAGGGUUCCUUCCCCCGCCCCCCAUUUAUUUUAUUUGUGACAACAGAAAAAUAAAUAGGAAAGUGAAAUGUUUGCAUUAUUUGGUUUUUACACAUGUGUAAUCUCCUUCUAAUUAGCAUUGUUACUGGUGGCAAUGUUGUUCAUAUGAUGCACUCAGGAACCAGAUUGCAAAGAAAUUACUUUCCUCAUUUGCUUUUGCUGGAUUUUUGUUUUGCUGCAUUUUUAUAUUGCUGUUUUCAAUAAUACUUUAAUACCCACAGUAGAGGAGAGUGGGAAUAAAAUGAAACCUGUUACAACACAAUUCUAUACAUGUUUGCUCAGGCGUAAGACUCAUCAAGUUUAAUGAAACUUAUUCUCAGGUAACUGUGUAUAAGAUGGCAGCCUGAACCAGUUAAAGAAAGUUAUACUAAGAAAAAAGAUCUCCCCUGUUUUAUUAUCUCGUUUAUCAGUAAAAUACUGUUGGGGAGGAUGGGGCAACACAUCUGUGUCCUCAAAGCCUUUGAUAUUUAAGUGCUUUUAUUUCUUAGAUAUAACUGUCAGUAGUAAAUAAGAACCCUAUACUUCUACAUCAGGAGACUUGUUUUUAAUCUUAGGUAAUAUAACCACAUAAAUACUCUUGGUACAACCUAUUUUCUUUUCUCUUUAUCAAUCUUGUUAAGUCUUAAGUGUAUUUUUACAAGUUGUUUAAUGCGUUCCAUUCUUUCUGGUGUGUUUUUCCUCCCCAAUAUUAUCAGAUUUCAUUAUAUGGGAAGAAUUAUCAGCUCAACCCAUUAUACAGCAAAGCAGUAUUAAGUCUGUCUGGAAUUUGCUGCUCUUUCAGUUUACAGGGGAAAUAUUGUGUACAUCAAGCUCUCCAGUUUCAGUGGGAGGCACAGGGUUGAACAGCAUCCAUUUGUCAAAUUGAUUGCUCCUCAGUGAGGUUGCCUUUGCUUGUCUUUGAACAGGAGUGAAAUCCUAUGUGAAGCUCCCUUUCUGUCAUUUACACUAACAUCCAUCCUCUUAAACCAAGGCCUCAGAGAAAAAACAAAGUGUUGGCACAAUAUAAUCAGUCACUCAAGUUGUCUGUCAUCUGUUUUCUUAAAGGAAAUGACUUUUAAGUUAGUGGAGCAGAAAAUUGUGGAAAAUUGGGAAUGGAGCUGCAAUGAGAGGAGGAGGAAUUUAAACAUAAAGAAAAGACAUCCUGUCCACUUCUAAUUUUUCAGAAUCUGUUCUUUGUUACUGUAACUAGAGAAUAUUAAUUUAGCUGCUGGUUUGCUUUAACAUCCUUAGCAUGUUAAACAGUUUGAAAUGUAAAUAAUUAUUUAUUCAAGUUUUACUGCAAUGAGUUGAUGUUAGUUGUACAUCUCCUUUUUAAAAAUUCUUUUAUGUCUCCCCCCCCCCCUUUUUUUUUUAGACAUACUCUUGCCUAAAACAGCUAAUCCUGGAUACUUUUGGCUUAUUCAGACAAUUAGAGCUAAUUACUUAUUAAGAGUGUAGUAUGCAGCUUAAAGUUAAUUUCUUUCUUAUUCAUGUUAACCAUGUGAGACCUGAUCUAAAUCAGGCCAGCUGUGCAUGGAAAAGGAGGAUUAGCUCACCAUCACCACCAGAAGUGACUUGGUGCAAGUUGCUCCUGACACGGAAAAAAAAAACACCUUAAAAAAAAGUUUAGAAUUUCCCCAAAUGGGAUAAAAAGGGAUGGUUAAGAAACCGCUAUAAUUUCAAUUCUGCAAAAUGGAUUUUACAAAGUCCUAUAAAUUAUUUUCUGAUCCCAAUAGUCUUGUAUGUAUCACAUAUAAAAUUUGAAUGAGUACAGUUGUUAAAACUGAGCCAAGGAGCUCAGCACCCUCAUUCAUUUUUAGAUACCUGCCCAUCGUAUCCCGGGGACUGAGGACAUAGCAUAUUUUACAGUUAACGUGUCAAGUCAACACAUGAAAAUCUUUGUGCCUCUCAGAAGGGAGAGUAAAGCUAUCACCAUUAUCUUCCUCGAAAUGAUGACCAAGUCCUUGGAAGGCUGAGAAUCCAAAAUUUUAUGUUGGCUAAAAGAUGUAAUUAACUGACUUAAUUGGUGCAUAUAUGUAAUUGUAAAAGUUUGUGAUUUAAUAUAAUACAUUACCCUUGCUUAUUAUAAUUUUAGGUUCUGUUAUUGAUUUUGUAGCCUGUUUUUUUUUAAAAAAAAACCCUAUAAUCUAAAAGACAUACUAGGUUUCUGGGGUUUUUUAAAAAAUAAAUUCUUCUCUUUUUUCUUCUAAAACGUAACAUGAACAUGUGGAAUUUGUGGAUGUCAGAGAGGCCAUUUAGAUCAAUCUUGAUUAGUUUAUUUUUCUUAGGAAAGAUUUUGAUAGCUGGGUAAAGUUUUUUGCUUGAAAGAGCAUUCCUUAUUUCUCCACAGAGAGAUGAAAUAUUGUUAAAGGUAGUUCUCCACUAAAGUGAGAAACUAUUUAGGUAACUGAAUCUUUGAUGGGGCGAAGGCUUAGAUUGAAAGUUGAGUAUUCAAUUGCCCUUUUCCUCAUAACUCUUCUUCCUUUAACCUCAAUAGUGAUUUUUAAAGUUAUGGCUUAAUUGCCUAGCCUCAUUUUGACAAUUAGAUUUCUGCCCUAAAGCAAUUUAUUAUGGCUUUAUAUCCCUGAAGCAGGGAGAUGAUAAUAUUGUAUUCUAUGGUACAGAACCAUCUUUGCAUGAUUAAUGUUAUGUCAUGAAUACAUAUUUCACACACACAUAUUGUAGGCUUUAAGACCUGGGUUAUAAUGAGAGCUCUUUUACUAUACAAGGUUAUAGAACUAUGUAUGUUCUGUAUUGAAUCUUUCAGCUUUCUUCUCUGUAAGGUUUUGGUGAAAUAUAUAUGGUUCUUAGACAACAAAGCCAGCAAUGAGAAACCAUAUCCCUAACAUGGGGAAUUAGGGAUGGGAUGUUGGGACUGAAUCAGAUCUUCUGGAAUUUUUCAUCUUCUGCACCAUCACACCAUUGUUUUGUGGGUUCUCAACUUUUGUACACUGUUUUCUUUUUCUGUUUUAAUGGCCAAAAUAAGUCUCCCACGGUACAACAGUAAGUGGUUUGAGCUAGAAUUACUGGAAGUUAAUGCUUUAAGCAAAAAUGUGUUCGUAUUUUGGACCCACUGAACACUGGAAUGUUGGCCCCAAGAACUUCUUGGACACUGAAUUUAGCUUUGCAACUGAUAAAAGACCUUCUGCUGGUGUGAAAUGGUGUAGACUAGCUCCGAGAGUAUUAGGACGAUGUGUGUAUCGAUCGAACAUCAAAGAAGUCUUUUCCAAUCUCCCCAAAACCAAAUAAUUCCACUCUCUCCCGUGUGAUCACAUUAAUGGGUACUGCUACUACAUCAUUUCAGACAGAGCCAGUUUCCAGAAUUAUUGCCAAAGGGGAAAACUUGCUUCUUAUGCCUGCACUGAAAACUUGAGUUUUUUGCUGUGUACAACAUAUAUGUUUCUUGCAUAUUGAACUUACACAUAUACUUCUUCCCUUUUUCUGUUUUUCUUUAUGUGUUACCGGCAUAUUUCUUUUAUAUAAACAACUAGACAUAAUUUCCUUUGACUGUUCUGCUUUAAGGACAACUGCUUUAACCUAUGAAAGAGAACUAGAGUGGGUUAAAAGCUACAUCAUUAAACAGCUACCAGAUAUUGAUAAAAUAUUUCAUCUAUGAGACAGAAGAUAGUAUGUGGAGUAAAGACCACACAUUUUCAUUAAAUAUGGCACUUACUGAAAAUCCAUACGUAUGAAAAGGGUGCUAUGUAAUUCCUGUACAUGAUUGGAACUGGCAGAGUGGAAUAAAAAAGUCUCAUUACAUAUGAUGAUCAGGCUAAGUUGCAAAAGAAAUACCAAAGAAUAGGUAAUAAGAUAAAUUUAAAAAUUUGGGUGGUUGCAAUCCCUUGAUACUUUGCUUUGUCAUCUUAAUUAUAUGCAUGGAUCCAUUAUUCAUAAAGAUCUAACAUCAUAUAAGGCAACUGAAGUAAAAUCACUUUAUUCUAAAAACUGGUGACUGAAAACAUAACCUUAAACUUUUCAUAGAUUAAUGGUUAAAUUAAAUACCAGGUUUUACAAUUGUGAUAAGGUGAACACAUUAGACUACAAAUGAGACAGAUUUAUGUACCAGUAAUUAUUUUAUUAUGGCCUUUAGAGUUAAGACCAUAUCAACAAAUGUACAGUCACUGAAUAUAUAUACUGUUUAAUUAGUAUUUUCUGGAAAAAUAUAAAUUUGGAAACCAAUAUUAAAUAUAUAUUAUGUAUUAUUAAAAAAUAAACAGAGAAAUCUUUUUGUAACUCAAUUUUUUCUGAAACAAGAAAACAAGUGCAAAUUUGUAGAUAGUAACACAAGUCCUGGAAACUUCAUCAAAUAAUGAUCCCACUCUCAUUCAGUCUGAUUGUUAUCACAUUGCCUUUAUUCUGUUACCACGCUACAUGUGGUUUGAACACACAAGCUCAGAAGGUGAAAUUGGAACAGAAUCCUAGUGAAAUACAUACCAUCCACCGUCAGACAAUGGGUUUAAAAGAGUUAUGAAGAAAUUUCAUUAAAAGAAAUAUAGCAUAUUUAUAUUGAUGAUUCUGCUCUUUUUUUGAGACUUGUAGACUUUCUGAACAUUUAGCAUAAAUAUCCAUGAAACUGUAGCUUAAUAUAAUAUCAAUUUAUUGUUAUGUUCCACUAAUAAUUUAAUCAACUAAUUUUUGUUCCUUAAUAUCUCGGUUCACUGAACACUAUGGUAGGAGAUGCUGGAGACUUUUGUUGUCUGGCUUUUUGACAGUCCAUUAUGAUUUCACAAGGCCAGAAGAAAUUCUACUUUCCCAAAAAUCUAUUCCCAGUAUGCAGUCGUCAUAAUGGAGAUCUCCCAUCUACUUCUAUAAUUCCAGUUUAAUCCCACUCACCUCGUAUGCAAGCAGUGAAAUACUUCAAUUUGUGCAUGAAGAACUAGAACAGGAGAUGUUCCAGUAACAACCUGUCAUAUUUCAGUUUGCCUGAGAAGGGUCUCAAGGGAACAUCCAGAGAUAACUUGUCCUGUUUCUUUCAGUGGGUCUACUCAAAGCAUUACUAAGAGUGGAUCCAACUGAUAAUCCAGGAGAAAGGAGCUGAUGGAGACAAGGAAAAAGUCUUCAUUGCUCCCGCCUUGAAUUCCUUCCUGUAAAUCUCCAGCUACCUCAUUGUUUCUCUUGCCAAUUUAGUGAGUAGAUAAAAUUUCCUAUGUGUGUGUAAGUGAUUUUCUUUUUCCUUGUAAAUGAUGUGAAACUACUAUCAAAUGUUAUCUUUGGUGCUGACGCAAGGAAAUUAAGAGAGGUAUUAUCGUUCUGUUCAGUGUUCUUCUCAGGGAAAACUGCUGGUUAGGUCAAUUUACUUGGCUCGAUACCCUGUUUUAAUCUUAACCUGGGGCGUACUUCAAAUACACAGCAGCUGGCUCAAACUCUUCAUGCAUGAUUGCAUGUUAAUUUCUCUUCGUUGAGAGGUGGGAAUCCAGCAAAAAUGUCUGUGUUGAAUGAAAACGUUAUGAGACUCCUAACGGGUGAAUAAGCACUCUCAUGUGAUAGAAUAAACCUGGAAUCGCCACCUGAACUUUCUGGGGCCUGAUUCCUCCAGGGCGCAAGACUUCAGUUGAAUUACAUCACGGAUAAAUUUGUCCCAACAAUUUUAAGUCUAGGAAUGUGGCAAGAACAAAGCAUUGCAUUCUCCUCUGCUGCUUCCCCAGCUUUGGGUGCAUAGCUUUCCAGUAAAAACAAGGAGGCUUGGACAUGUGAUGGCCGAAAACUAGAUGUACCUAUUUGCAUUUUUUAAAAAUGAAUUGGUCUCAGUUCAGACUUAGAAAAAAAAAGAUGCAUGCAUCUUUUUUAUUUAUGACACAGCCCAACAAAAAAAUUAUUAGUGUCUUAGUUUUUAGGCCUGUUCCUGAGAUUAUUUGGGGCAUUGAUUCAGGUAAUUGCAUUGGAUAGACCACAUCAGUUCUAGUGUUUUAGAUUUGGUUAACAUGGUUUUUAUGGGCAAGCAGACAAAGUCUGGUAUAUGGUGUAUGUUCUAUAUCUCAAAAACUAGUGCUGAUGGGGGAAACUGGUGCCAUUUUUGGAAUCAGCAAGGCACCAAGAUGUGUGUUUAUCAAUGUAAUUAUUGGAUUAAUGAAUUGCUCCAUAUUAUAGCCGUCAACCAGAUUGUAUUUACAAGUGAAAAUGUAUAGAUGUACAAAUGUACUGUAGUUACACUCCUCCUGCAUGCAGUGAUUCUAUUUUGUAGACACACAACCAAAGGGGGUUUGUGAUGGCAAAAUGUGUAAAAUCACAUCAAAAACACUAGGUUUAAUAUCAGCUACAGAAACCUAUGCAGGGAGCUAAGGAAAAAGAAACUUGUGCUUGUUUGUGCGGUCUCUGAUAGUUCAGUGUCAUUACAUUCUGUCAAAGCCACAGAAACCCACUCUUAUUUUUGACAGACCUUUUGUGCUGGCAGGCAAAGCUGGGGAACAGGUCAACAAUUAUUCUCUAAGCAGAGCAAGACAGCCUGGAAGUAGUUGAUUCUAUAACCUCUAAGCUUCAAGUUGAUAAAAAGGCACUUUACACAAGUGUGGACAUGUUUCAGGACAAAUUUAUUUUACCAUGGAGAAGGUUCGUCUCCGGUACUCUUUUUUUCCCCACCAGCAGAUGUAAUGCAAGAACUGUGGAACUAAACAUGUGGCCUUUUCGUCAACAAAGAGAAAGUGGAAAUACAGGUAGAUUUAAUAUAAGAUCAAGGAAACAAAGGAAAGAAGUAACAUGUGGGUGAAAGGAUAAACAACCCGCUUGUGUAAUAUUUUCAGUCUUCUUAAGUACCCAUUUUGUACAAACAAUUUGCAUAUAUUUGCUAUGCUUUAAAGGGUGUGUGUGUGUGUGCACGCACGCGCGUGCAUGCAGAAGGAGACAUUAGUGUAUGACUCAUAUGGAAACAUACAUGAGCAUAUUUCUCCUACAUCUUGCCCCUACAUGCUAAAAAAUAGUACAGCCCAAAGUACUGAGCAGAUCCAUAGGAUCACAAGCUACUGGAUCAAUGUAUACUUUACAAACUUGAUUGGCUGGGCACUGACAUCUUCCUGCACUUCACAGAAUCAGUUGCUUAAUGAGCAGUUUGUAUUCUGUUGGCUUCCUUGUAAAUCAAGUGUUGCUGUUUUUAAAUCAUUUGUGCCUUCCUUUUUGUCUAAAUUUAUUAGGGUAGACAAACUUUCUUUGAGUUACUCAUUAUUGUUGCUCCCUGCCACAAUGUACAAAGAGGAAAGCUGUCAUUACAGAGGAGUCUGUGAAUCAGAACUGUAGGGCAUGUCAUUGUCACAUCGGUUUCUUCUGCUAUGCCUCAGAAGAGUUUGCCAGAACUCCCCAUUAACUCUCCUUAUUUUUGGAUGGAAACUUGACUGUCAUUUCUACUUAACUGCAACUGUUCCUAACCUCUAACGAUGUGCAUGUUUUGUUUUGGGAACGUGCAUUGUGUUGAGAAGCAUUUUAACAAGAUAUAAAGUGUUGGUGUGUUUAUUGUAACAAACUGUGGAAUUUAACCCUGUUUCCAAGAGACUCACUAGUAACAGUCACACAGAUGUCCCAAUGGAAGCAUUCUUUAUUUCCUUGGAUUUUUUUCACUAUCUGUCACAUAGUCUCGGUCACACAAUAUCUCUUCAUUUCAUCACUUUCCUACAUUGCAUUUAUGUUUGUACAUUUUGAUCAUUUUUUCUCUUGAGUCACCCAUUCACCAUUCAAUUUAAACAAUAUGUAUUCUAUCAACAUUUAAAAAGUUAUUUUCACAUCUGUAAAUCUCCUUUCCUCCAGAAAUAUAAUAAAAUUGUUAAUCUGUAUUAGACUUAUUAUGGUUUUCAUCCAUAAUUAAAUGAGGUCAGCAUUUCUUCAAUAGAUUAAAGGUGCAUCACUGAAAGAAAAAUUACUCUUAUUCCAACUUAAAAAAAAAUAAAACAGAGAAAAGUUGGAGGACAGAGAAACCCAACCUUGAAUUUCCAAUUAGGAAAGGGGCUGUUUCUGUUUUCUGAGGUGUCUGUUUGACAAGCAGUCAUGUGGAAGUAGUACAGUGUGUAAGCCUUUAGUGUACAUAGACGUAGUCAUGAUCCAAACUGGGGGAUAAGUAAUUAAAAUAAUUAGAAAUAAAGCAGCUUUGUCAGGCUACACAUUCUUUUGACCAAGGCAGCUAAGGCCAAGUAUGAUUUUUUUUUAUAGUGGGACAUUUCUUUUUAAAUGUCAAGCAAUUUAAAAAAUAAUUUUAAAAUAUAUAUUUAGAAUUCCAAUUGAGAAGCUGCAAGCUUGGAUAUGUUGAUGUUUUCCAUCCCAUAUUGGUUUGUGCUUUACCCCUCGCCUGACUGAGAUAGGCUGUUCAUUCUGCUUAGCAUUGCGUGCUAAAUGCUGGUUGUCCUGACUUUCCCUUAGAUACUGGAACCAUUAGCCAACCUUGACUAGUUUUAUCUCCCCCUAUCUGACUUUCUAAGACCUGAGGCAAGUAUUUCCCAACCUUUUUACUAAAGACCUUAGUAGGUAGACCAUGGACUUUUAUAAAUGCAAUGCAAAGGUUUCUAUCAAUGGCCAUGCUGGAAAAAAUAGUAAGAAUUGUGGUCUAAUAUACAUGAAGGGCAGCAGGGGCUCAUCUACACUGAGCAGCUUAACCUAGUCUAUAUUUGGCCUGGACCAACUCCGAUCCAGCAUGUACUUGCUGAAUCCUAGACUCUUUUCCAGGACGGAUUAGACCACAACAGCCCUGCUGGGUUGUCACCUCCUCUGUAUCUCUACUGCUGCUACGUUCUCCUAGUGGGUCAUGGAGCUCUGUCAAAGCUCUUGGCUGCCUUGGUUGUGUCUGCUGAUGUCACAAUGGUCAUGAAUGUUGUCCUGGCACUCAAUUCCGACAUCGCAGAUGUGAUUUGCAGUGGCCAGGUGCUUGGAUGGAGCUCUAAAAGUGGUGGCAAUGGCAACUUGGGCAAGAGUCACCCUCUUGCCCAGUGUUAAUGAUUGAAGGGAAAGGAUGGUGAUGGGGUGGUUUCUGUUGGAUCUCAUCCAGCUAUUCAAACUACCCCAAGUUUACAGAAUACUGCAUAGGUUCAAGGAAAUUGACUUUGCCUAAAAUGGAACAAAGUUAUUUGAAAGCAAAAAAAACCCAUGAUACACACAGGAAACUGGUAUAAGUCAUGAAGAUUACAAGCAGUGCAUUUGAAGUGGAUACGGGAUUUCUGGCUCAUGUAGACAAACCCUAGGUUAGAAAAGUCUGUAAUUAGUACCAUAUCUAAGCAGUAUGGAGCCCAAGUGGCGAAGUGUGUUAAAGCACUGAGCUGCUGAACUUGCAGACCGAAAGGUCCCAGGUUCAAACCCUGGGAGCAGCGUGAGCGGCCGCUGUUGUUCCAGCUUCUGCCAACCUAGCAGUUCGAAAACAUGCCAAUGUGAGUAGAUCACAUUGAGUAGAUCACAUGGCGGGAAGGUAACUGCGCUCCAUGCAGGCCACAUGACCUUGGAAGUGUCUAUGGACAACGCCGGCUCUUCGGCUUAGAAAUGGAGAUGAGCACCAACCCCCAGAGUCAGACAUGACUGGAGUUAAUGUCAGGGGAAACCUUUACCUUUACCUUUUACUAAGCAGUAUAUCAGUAUAUUAUUUGAUAUGUGCCAUAAAUAGGGCAAAUUUUUAGAAGUAAAUUGCCGCUAAUGGAGACUUCAAGAAAAGACUCUUUCCCCCUCCCUUUUCAAAUGCACUGCUUGCAAUCUUCUUUCUUUCUUUCUUUCUUUCUUUCUUUCUUUUUUUCUUUCUUUCUUUUGUGGUUCACAGAAUUUGGAGGGUUGAGACAAAAAAAAAAAGCAGCCUGGAGACCAUAUGUGGUUCCAGGGCUGCACUUCACUACUUCUUCAGUAAGUAGUUUGAGUUUAAUCCUCUGUCCUGUCACUGCUCUUGCCUUUACUGAAGCUACUGGGUGUCAAGGAAUGUUUGCAGAGUGAGGCUAACAUUUGUGCUCACAUCAAUAUCAUCAUCUAGGUUUCCAUGUGUUCAGGCCAAUACCUGAGCAGAGCUAGAAUGUGGGUGUAUUUGGGAUAAUACAAAAAAAACUCGUUCCUCAUCUUAAAAAAAGAUACUGUGGACUAGAACUUGGAAAUUCUUCAGCCUCCAUUAUCUCAAACAAACCUUGAAUACGAAUUUGAGUAGAUCUGAUUCACAACAAUCAAACACACCAUGUUAUGCCCCACACAAAUUCUGCUCUAAUUUAGAAACUCUGGGAAGUGGAGUAGAAUAAAAAUUAAACUGAAUAAACAGUCACUCUGGAGCCACUUACUUUCAGUCUGAGUAGUGCUAAUUGUACUAGCACUUUCAUUUGAACACUGUAAUCAAAUAAAGUUUCAGAGGUAACAAUGACUUCUGCAUUGUGUCAGUAUGAAAAUUUAGUCUUUUCAUUUUAGUGUCUAAUUCAUUCUGAAUGCUGGAAAAGAUUUUCAUAAUCUUCACCUAGAGUUACAGCUAUUUAUUUUGAGUUAUAAGCUCUUGAGGGAAGCAGUGUUGCCCUUCCCAGUUUUCUCUACUGAGAAUGACAGGCAUCCUGAGAACAAGGGGUGGCUGUCUUUUUCUUCUUCAGUUUGAGGUUAAUACUGAGAAGGACAGUAUGUCAAGAAACGCAAGCUGUCUACUAAAAUAUAGAAACCAAAACAAGAUGAGGCUCUAACUAAGGACAUGCAAGGGCUGGAAUUUUUUGAGUGUUUACAUAUUUGAUUUUUGACUCUUGAUUUGAGGUCGAUAGAUUACGUUCACAUCUCCUUCUAUUUUUACUUUCCUUUCUCAACUAAUUAUUUUAUACUGAAUACCAUGACAUUUCUAAAUGUCAAAACUAAUUUGCUCUGUUAACUUUGUUCUUUGUGUUGGACAUAAUUGGGCAGAUCGUAUCUCGUGAUAAAGGAAAUUGAGAGAUCUGAAUUUUAUCAAUAUGUGAAAAGGCUGCUAAUGUUACAUUGAGAUGCAAUUAUAAUUGUUGUGAGAUAAUACAGAUACAUUUCUCAGUUAACGGUGAUUACGAAUAGUUGGUUUCUGAUGAAAUUUAGAAUAUAUACCAUUUGGAAUACUUGCCGAUAUGGCUGAGUUUUCUCUUGCUUAAUUCUGCAGAAUUAGUUCUGUACAGCACUGUGAACUCUUCGUUGUAUGUAUAUAUCAUUGUUAUAGGAAUGAGAACAAGAAAACAAUUAAGCUUAAUUAACAAUUGUCAUUUUUCAAGACUAUAUCAUUUCAGACAAGUCCACGUGAGAGAGACAGCCUGAAAGUAGUUGACAAAUAAGGGGAAACAGGAUGAAAGAAUGCUUAACAUUUACAAUUAAGUAAAUAAAAGGCUAGCAGUAAAAAAUAGUUAUUUUGCCCAAGUGAGAAGACAAGAAAAUUGAUGAUGAAGCAGCUGAAAAAAGGCCAGUAAAAGCAUAUGACUAAGAAUAUUGGGGCUCCCCUCUCCUUUUAAAUACAAAAGAAGCAGGAAAAAAUCAGUGAGUUAGGUGCAUUAUUAGUCAACACAAUGAGUGAAAUGAUUGCUUAGAAUGAUUGCAGAAGAACUGAGUAAAUUCUUCAUAUUGCUCCUUAUUUGAAGAAGAUUGGAAUUGCUUUUUCAUCCAGUGAAUUAAAACAGAUUGAGGUAAAAAGAUGAAAACUCUAGGACUGACAAAUUAAAAAUUAAUAAGUCACUGAAACCGGAUGCUAUAUACCCGAGAGUUCUUAAAGAACUCAAAUGUGAAAUUAUUGAUCUUCUAUCAAAAGUAUGUAACUUGUCACUGAAAUUACCACCCUUACUAAAGGACUGGAAAGUAACCAACAUAACAUUGAUUUUUUUAAAAGGAAACCAGAGAAGAGGCAGGAAAUUGCAGAUAUGUCAGUGUAACAUUUGUCUUGUCUGAAUUGAUGGAAACAGUUAUUAAAUCGGAAAAUGUUAACCAUAUAUGCCUAAAAUUCAGCUGUUCCUUCUAGCUAAAGUAAACCCAUUGAGUCGUUUGAACUUACAAGUUCACACUGAUUUAGUGGAUAUACUAUAAAUGAGACUAAUAGUGUAAGCCAUAGAAGACCAGGCCCUGCUGAGAAUUUAUUCACCUGGCUUUCACAAAUUCUAUGUCACCAAUAUUCAGAAUGCCAAUGGAAUACCUGUUAGGAUGACUCUUUAUCUCUCUACAUAAAAAGGCAAAGUAUGUCUCUAUGUCCCACAGAGGCUCAUGCUAUGUGAUAAUCCAGGGAUUUUUUUUUCCGUUUCAUGAGCGACUUGAGACACUGCAAGUCGCUUCUGGUGUGAGAUAAUUGGCUGUCUGCAUGGAUGUUGCCCAGGUGAUGCUCGGAUGUUUGAUGUUUUCCCAUAUGUGUGGGAGGCUUCUCUCAUGUCCCCACAUGGGGAGCUGACAGAAGGAACUCACCCACUCUCCCCAGAUUCGAACUGCCAGCACAAGUCUUUAACCCAUUUUGCCACCAGUAGCCCUUUGAUAUGUCAAUAUAUUCAGAGUGGUCCUCUGUGGUAUGUGUAUGAGGGGAAGAGAGGAAGGAAGGAAAGAGCCGCAAAGAGCUCAGAGCUGGAGAAGAGAGAAAGAAGAGGGGACAGGAGGGAGGGUAGACAUGAGGAAAAGGGAGGGGAGGAACAAAUGAGGAAGGAGGGAUGAAAGCAGAGGGGCAGCGGCCCCUUCAACACCCGGGCAAUACCAGGUAAAUGUGCUAGUAUAUUCUAUAAUAGGAUUUCCUAGAUGUGCAUUCACAGAUGGGAGUUAAAACAUACAGUUACUAGCCAGGAAAGAACCAUGCUGAGGUUGUGGUUGAUAGAUCAGGAAAAAAGGUUGACUAUACUAGCUGUUAAAAAGGCAAACACCAUGUUAAAGAUCAUUACGAAGUAAUUUGGAAAUUGGGAUUACUAUAUUAUGAUCUUGGAGACCAAGUUCCAAGCAGAGGAUAGCAGGACAAUUCACUCAUUCUCAGUGCAGAAACCAAUUCCAGAUGGGGCUUUCUAUGUAAAAGGUCCAAUGUUCAGUCUCUGACCAUUCCUGCUGUGUGUAGGGAAAGCUUAUAUCUCAAUCUAUAAAAAGCCAGUCAGUGUCAACAGUGAACUCAUCCAAACUACUGCAAAGAAGGAGGAGUUGUCACAGCAAAUAUUGACUGUUGGUAUCUCUUGGAAAUGCCUGAGCAAUCUGUAAAAUGCAACUGAGGAUGAAGGAUGAAAGAAGCUAAGUACUGUGACCAUCAUUCAGAUUUCAUAAUAUAGAUACAAUAUAGAUAUAUAAUAUAGAUAAAUCAAUACACUUCUGUGGUUCUUGAGACCUGUUUAGGUAUAACUUCUUUUUUCUAAAAGAAAAAAAAACUUAUUGUGCUGCCCAUCCCACUCAUUGAGGAGGAGGAAUAGCCAAGUAGCCCAAUUGAAUAAUGAGUACGAAACCAUACAGAUUCCUAUGAGGUUUGUUUUAGUUUGGUUUGAGGGAUUUUGUUUGCUGCAGUGUAUAAUAGAAUUUCAUAAAAACUGGGUGGGAUUAAAUGUUGGUGCUUAAAGAACUGGGAGAACACAAACAGUUUCUGUUUGAGAAUUACAGCUAUACUGUAAAUACAACAGCUCUCAGCAGUGUUUCCUCCAUAUGUUUUCUUCUUAGGCCAGUAUUCUGAUGUGAUGUGUGCUAUCUUCCUUUAUUUAUAGAACUUACUGACUUGACUUUGAAUAUGGAACUCAUGAUUUCAAGUCCUACAGCAAAUCCUUUGUUAAAUAAUUCCAUUUGUCAAACAGUGACCUCCUUAUGAACAUAUGAAGUUUUCUUAUACCGAGUAACAUAUAAUGACCAUCUAAAACUUUAGUUCUUUGGACUAGUAGCAGAUCUAUAAGGCAGAGGUCCGCAAACAUUUCAUGGUUCAUGGUCCAUCAGACUGUUGGGGGAACAGACUAUAAUUUGAAAAAGACAUGAACAAAUUCCUAUGCACACUGCACGUGCCUUAUUUGUUGUGCAAGAAACCAUGAAAGAACAAUACAGUAUUUAAAAGGAAGAACAAUUUUACCCAGCAUAAACUUACCAGUAUUGCAAUGGUAAAUGUGGGCCUCCUUUUGGCUGAUGAGAUAGUCAGGAUUGUUGUUGUUGUGUGCCUUCAAGUCAGUUCAGAGUUAGGGCGACUCCAAGUCUAAAGUUUAGAGUCUAAAGUCAGAUAAAGGACCUUAGAGGGCUACAUCUGCCCAAUAGGCCCUAAUUUGGGGACCCUAGCUAUAAGGCCUCAGCUAAAGCUUCUAAAAUUAUAAAUCAGUUCCUUUCUCAGGGUCAUUGUGUAAGUGGGGAUACUAUAAAGUUCUUUCAAGAUUAAGAUGGGCUGCAUAUGUGAUGGGCAUUUGAACUGGAUUUGUUUUGGGUUUUUUUUGUUUUUUUGUUUUUUUGUAUGUAUCUGAAUCUUGAUAACUUUCAGACUUUUGGGUUUUUAAAGUAUAUUUUCUCAUCCUUUAGAGAUUUUGCAUCUACCAAUCCAAAAACAUAACAAUGAAGAAAGGGCAAAUGUAGGCAUUGCUCCUUACUUGAUACUUCUGCUCUCCAGGAUACAAAAAAAAUCAUUCUGUUACUCUUCCUUUAAAGUGAUUUAUGCUCCAUCCAUUCUCUAUCUUUUAUUUUUGUCUUGAACCACACAAUUAUUUUCUUCCACCCCUGUAUUCACCCAUCCAAUGUAUGAAGCCUGCAAGACAAGGGGAGGCAUUUAUCAACCAACUCAUGUCUAGAAAAUGUUGUGAAGUAUUUAGAAGUCAGCUGUAUUAACCUAAUAAGUUUGUUGAUCCAGCUGAAGUUCAAAACACCUGUUGGACUGUCACAGCAAUAAUGUACUGACUAUAAUAGAUUUUCAAGUGGAAAUUUAUUUUACAAGCAGAUUUCUCCAUGAAUGAGCAAAUAAGCCAGAUGUUUUUGUUCUGAAAACCUGAGAAACAAAGAGAAGCACAUACUUUAGGGUCCUUUCACAGAGUCUAUCUGCCCCAUACAAAUUCUGUAAGCAUACAGCAAGAUGGUGACCAGGUGGUAGACAAAUGCGGACGAUCAUGUCAGAUUUCUUGUGGGAAUAUAUAUAUUACAUUAGACUCACAGGGGCUAGGUUCAGCUCAAAGAGCUACAUUCAAGCCUCUGUCAUUUGAGCUGCAUCAGCAGCUAAUAGGCUUUUUCAUACAUGCUAGUACAUAAAGCACACUUAGAAUACUCACUAUUUUAAAAAAAUUAGUAGCAGUAAAAUACAUGUCUAUUCUUUAUAUGUGAUGGCUUUAGAAUUGCUUACUUCUUCAGAAGAUAUUGACCUGGGCAUGAAUUGACUUAAUUUACUGACAUUUGACUAGGAGAGAACAGGACCCAUAUUUAAGUGAUAAAGCAAUGCUUUGCACAAAGAAUAGGUUCAGUCCUUGAACUCAGUUUUUCAAUGCUCAUGAAAAAUUCCUGUGGCAGACGAUCUGCCCCUGAUAGCCAGAGCAGAUAACAUUAGCCUAGAUCAGAGAUCGGCAAUGCGUCUCUCUGUAGAUAUUGUUGAACUGCAACUCCCAUCAGCCCAACCUAGCAUAGGCAGUAGUGAGGAAUGUGGAAAUGGUAGUCCAAUAACAUGUGGAAACCAUACUUUGCCCAUUUCUGGCCUACAUGGAGAAAUAGGCUGGCCAAGCUUAAGACGGCUUCUUGUGUUCCUGUGAUAUGUCUAUGUUCACAUUAUAAAUAUAAUAUAUUUUCAGAUUGUGUUUAGAGCCAAAAUCAUCUUUCUGGGUCCCAGAGAGAGGGUUGAAUAUAUGCACGCACAUACAUACACACAAAACACACAGAACUCAGAGAUCUUAAUACAGAUUGCUUUUUCCUCGCUGGUAGCAGCAGAGGGGAAAAGAAUGUCUAUAUAGGGAUCUCUAAGGGAAAGGAGAACAAAAAAAAAGGUAGGGUUGAAUUUGGAAGCAGCAGAUUGCUAGGACUCCCAAAAAGCUAUUUUAGACUUUUAAGAGGCAGAGGUAUGCAAUUCUGUUCUCAACCACUUCCUCCUCCUUUUAGGGAAGAUAAAUAUGUCAAAUAAUGUACUCUGUACAGUAAUUAAAAGUUUAAUUCAAAAAUAUUUCAUUGUUGUUGCCUGCAAUGUAUCCAUUUAAAAAACAGAUUAAAUUUUCAUUCAUUCAUUCAGUUUCCCCCAAAAUAAGACAGGGUUUUAUAUUAAAUUUUGCUCCAAAAGAUGCAUUAGGGCUUGUUUUCAGGGGAAGUCUUAUUUUUCCAAAUUGACUUUUUAAUUGAACUAUAUCUAGGGCUUAUUUUUGUAAUAGGGCUUAUAUUUUGAGCAUCGUCAGUAAUGCUGAAAAAUCAUGAUAUAUCUUAUUUUCAGGGUAGGUCUUAUUUUUGGCAAAACAGGGUAAUUAUAUAUAUAUAUAUAUAUAUAUAUAUAUAUAUAUAUCUCGCAAGUACAGUAAUUGUACUUUUCAGGCAGGUGAGACUAGAUAGGUGUUUAGAUCGAUGCUCUGGAUCUGUGAUACUAUCACAACUAGCAACAAUUCUGAAAUGUUACUGGCUCAGCAAUUAGCCUGAUUUUGAGAGAUGGGUUUUUUUUAAAGCCCCAUAUAAUUAAUGGCUUUAGUCAUGAGUGUUAAGCAGGAAUGAUAAAAUAGCAGUUAACAGAUCUAGUUAUGCUAAAAGCCAGCUGCUUGGGAGGGUUCUGGACAUAUCAUUAAAAAAACCUGUAACUGUAAGUGGAGAAAAAGCAGACCUACAGUUGUAGAGUUAAGCAGUGUCAAAUAAAUGUUGUUGACUGCCAGUUGGAAAGGUUCCUAAACUACUAGAAUCAAAAUAUUGAAGAAAAUGUUACCUAACUGUUGGUGUCUCCUUGGGAUGGAUCACAUAUGAAAUAGCAUUGAAAAUGGCCCAUCAACCAUAUUUAGGGUCUCCUCAUACCAGUCAAUGUUUUUAUAGAAGAGAAACACUCAGUUUUCUUAGUCUGUCCUCUUCUUAGGGCCUGUCUACACAGACAAAAAACCAAUUGUCCUCACCUUGUAGCUGGCUUGAUCUGACAGAUGACUUAUGACCUCUUUGGUUAAAUGUGAUACACCAAAACUCACUUUGUGUGCCUCCAUUUCCAGGGAAAUCCAAUCUUAUGCUUUGUUAAGCAUGGGGUGGUUAUGGGGGAACAAGUUGUUGGAUGGCAAGUAUUACCAUUUUUUACAUGUCCACUUCUAUUUGUUUUCUAACAUUAAAUAUCUUUGUUCUGGUAAGCAGCGGUGUCGCAGUUGGAGGCAGUGACAAAACACUUCCUCUGAGCAGAAUUUGCUCUCCUUUUUCCUUUAUCUUUGUGCUGGGAAGUGGCGGAGUAAGGAGAGGUCUCUGUCUCUUCCAUUUUGCUCAGAUCAACCUCAACUGCUGCCUUCCCUUCCCAACUAAACAGCUUCCCGGCAGAAUCCCGCUGGGAAAUGAGGUUUUCAGGAUUGAUCAGGCUACUUCCUCACUGCUAGGCACCUCAUUCAGACUUUCAAACAAAUGACUUCCUCAGCAGGGCUCUUCCAGGAAGGCAGCACCAGGCAAAUCUCUUUGGAAAAUAAGAAGAAAUAAAACCGUGUUGAUUUGAAUUUGGGUUGUGGGCAAUAAUGAAAUUUCAAGUAGAUAUGUAUUAAUGGGAUGAAUUCGGGGCAACUACAAGACUGAAUAAUUUUAAUUACAGAUUAUUUUGGUGUUGUUUGAGUAGUGCUGACAACCCUUAGAAGGUCAGUCUAUUUUUUUCUGAAAGCAAUUUUAUGGAAUACAAAUAUUCAACCACUGUGACUCUACUUUGUAACUGUAAAUACAUUGGCUUAAAAAAAUCUGAUAGGUGGGGUAGCACUUUGAACAUUGGGCUAUGAUUCUCUAGAUCAGGGCUAAUAUCCCCACUGAUCACCUGGAAUAAGUGACACUUUCUCCGCCUUAGCACUCUCUCAGCCUCAGAGGAAGAUCAUGGCAACCCCAUCUCAACAAAUCAUGUGAAGAAAACCCCAAGAUAGGGCAGCCUUUGGGUCACUAUAUGCAAAAAAUUACUUGAAGGCAAGCAACAGCAAUAACAAAAAUAACAGUAUUUUGUCAUUUUCAAAUAAAAGGAAAAAAUAAAGAAUGCCUGGAAUCACAAAGUGUCUGUAAACCUAUGACUCACUUAUCAAGGAGGCGUAUGCAGUCAGACAAUCAGAUGAGAUAAUCUAAUGCAGAGUUUCUCAAAUUCUGCUCCUCUGGGCGUUUUGGACUUCAGCUCCCACAAUUCCUAGCAGCUGGUAAACUGGCUGGGAUUUCUGGGAGCUGAAGUCUGAAACACCUGGAGGAGCACAGUUUGAGAAAUAUUGAUCUAAUGUAAUAAAAGGACCAGACUAUCUAACUAAGGUUUGGAUGUUUGCUGCAAUGAAGAAUCUAAAAACAUUAGAAAGUAAUAGAACAUGCACCAGAUGCAAGCAAUUUCUAAAGACCAUUGAAUGAGGAAUUACACCUUGAGUGUGAAAUCUGAGACAUUUUUCUCCAGCCUAUGGUUCAGUAUUUGUACACUUAUUUGGGCUGGGAAAGAUAACAGCAGCCACUUUUCCUGUUAGUAUAUUCUGGUUUCCCAAGACAGGAGAAAAAGGGAAAAUCAGAUCCUACUAUGUCUAAUCUAAAAAAAAAAACAGGGAUCAAAUGAACUCUUUCUAACAAAUUAGAAUUUUGGCUGUCUUCAUGCAUUGCAUUGAAAGAGUAAGAUGCCUGCCAACCAGUCUCUUUAUUCUAUUCUUCCCUUUCUAAAAUCACCUUUUAACUACCAAGAACCAAAAGUUAGAAUUACUGGAUGUCGUGGGUUAAAUGCAUACUUGUUAGAGCUUAGCAGCAGGAGCAGCAGACCUAGGUUACAAAUUCAGUGACCAGGAACAAAUGUGCCCUUUCCAACAUUUCUCUGCUACAGUCCAUGUUGCUUUUCAGCCUUCUUCUCCCCUAUUCACACAGUCAGGUUUCUUCUUAAUCAUUGACACUUCUAAUGGGACAUAAUGAAUUGGCCCAAAGAGAGAUGGGCUUUGUUUAAAACACUGUUGCUUUACUUUUGGGGGUAGGAGGUCUGCUUGUCAACCAAAGAACACCUGAGAUCAAAGAUGUUUGGCAAAGCUUAGACAAAUUUUGCUACAUUUUGUUCGAUUAUUCUUAUUUUUGAAAAUGUAUAUAUCUCUUCUGAUCUUUUAAAUCUCCAAGUGACACACAACCAUCGAACACAUCCAAACCCACCCCAGUCCUGUUCAUAUAUGCUAAGCCAGGUCUCUCCCCUGUGAUCAAAUUGUGGACAAAUUUGGCUUUAUUAUAAAGCAUCUUGGUACUCAGCAACAACAACAACAACAGAUCGUAUUUGAGCAACUGUGUCUGUGGAACAGUGGGCAAUCUCUCCUUCGGGGAGAUGGGGCGGGGUAUAAAAAUAAAGUUAUUAUUAUUAUUAUUAUUAUUAUUAUUAUUAAUAUGGUCUUGGAAAUGGUCCAUACGCACUUAACCUCACCCCACCCCCUUCAUUGUCCCUUUCCUGAUGUGAAAAAUGACAAGUCUGAGAAAAAAGACACUGUUCUUCAUAUAGAGGCUCUCCACAUAACCAGUUGUAUUGGAACAUCAAGAUUUUAUAUAUGUGAAGUGUCUCCAUGUGAAUUUGAACUUUUCUUCAGAUCCAUUGCUUCUACAUGGUGAGAAAAAUGAUGGAGUGUGUUGGAAGUCAAUUGAGUAAUAACUGAGUAAGGCCUUUUACCACUACUCACAGGAAAGCCAAAUAGAGUUACAGAAUCUACAAUGACACUUUAUAUAGUUUUUACCCCUCAUUCUCAUAAAAUCACUAUCUCCUUACAUCAUCAUGGGCAAAGGCUGAGUAUGAUUUUCUUCUAGAGACAGAGUCUGACGGUAGGUCCAUAAAUGACUAUGAAGACCCAUUCUGGAUACACAUGGUCUUUCACACUGAGGACAUAGAUAGAGGCACCUUCCUCUUGGCGUAUUUCUUCCUUUCACUGUGUAUUCAUGCCUCUUCAAAAUUCGCAGUACCGUUGGUAACAGCUAACUUCCGGUUACAGCAUUCAAGUGCCAGGGCUUUCCAGUUCUUUGUAUUUAUACCACAUUCUUUAAGGUUAGCUUUAAGCUAACUUUUAAAUUGUUGUUCAUCGAAAUUCCAUUUUCCAUUCUUGAAGAUAAAGUAAUUGCUUUGGAAGAUGCUAAUCAGAUGACAUUCAGACAAGAUGACUAGGCAGCACUACACCAACACAUAUGAUUGCCAUCCAUAGUGACAUAGUGCUCAUCUCAGAGCAAUCUAGAAAUGGUCAGAUUUCAGCUGUUUUACUCUCUUACGUAUUUUUGCAUGACUCAGUCAUACAUUUACUUUUACACUACCAUAUUCAUUUCAGCCAUCAAGACAGAGGUCAUGUUAGCCAUUCGAAGUGAAAAGGACAUACAACAACAGAGCAAUAAAAGUAACAAUGAAUGUUACUUUUAUUGUUCUGUUGUAUACAUUCAAGUCAUUUUCACUUUGAGUAAACCUAAGGCUAUCAUGAGGUUUUCUUAGAAAGAUUGGCAAAAGGAAGUUUGUCCUUUCCUUUGGGGCUGAAAAAGUAUAACUAGCUAAACAGAUCCUAGGCUCCAGAGCCCUAACCCAAAACUCAAAUCCACUCAACACACUAGCUCUUCAUAUUGCUCUUUGGAAUGUGAAAUACAACUAUUACUACAAUAGUGUUCUUGUUUAAAAGAUAGGAAAUGCCUUACAAAGUAGUAUAGUUGCAGAGGCAGUCUCUUGGAUCCUGGAGAUCAGAUCCACUCAUUGGUAUCUGUUAAUUUAUCAUCACCAUUAUGAUUUUUAAAGGUGUUCCAAAUGCACAGUCAUCUGCUGACAUCUUUUCAGGAAUGGUGUUUCUGCUAUCAUAUUUGCAGGAAUGGUGGACUGAAUGUGGAAUGUGGCAUUUUGCAUUCCCCAGCAAUGGCCGUGUGCCAGAACAAUGAAGUUUAUAAUUGGAAUUGAAUAUUUCUGUAUCAUAAAAUGCAAAGAAAAUACAUAAAUCAUGGCUAGCCUGGUGGUCUCCAUUAGUAAAAAGAAAUCUGAAUUCUGCCCCUUCCAUCUCUCUCCCUCCAUAUACACAUGGACACACACAGAGAGUUGAAUUUCUCCGGGGACACUGUGAUUAUUCCAUGUCCAGAAGAUUCAACAGACCUCUGGAGUCUGGUUACUAUGUUACAUCUUGAUUGACAUUUUGUGAAAGCAUUCUGAAAACCUACGCAUUCAACAAACCCUGUUUUUGAAAUGGAGGAAGUGGGAUUGUAGUUAAUAUGCCAUAGUAAUCAAUAUGAGUCUUUAAGACCAGUGAUUAAGAUUUAUUUAGCCUUUCCCUUGUUCUUUCCCUAUUUGCCCUGAUUUUACCUAUGGAUCUUUCGGAGCUCUUGCACUAGUCACCCUCGCUGUAUCUAGCAAUCGAUACUCAGGCUUUUAAAGUAACUGUUAUGUUGUUUAUACCUUUGUUAUAUUGUUUUAAAUCACUGUUUUAAUUACUGUUGUAUGUAAUGCUAUGUUGUUGUUUUUGGCUAGUCCUUGUGUAAGCCGCCCCGAGUCCCUUCAGGGAGAUGGAGGCGGGAUACAAAAAUAAAGUUGUUGUUGUUGUUGUUAUUAGCCAUUUAGACAGUGUUGGUCUUCCCUGCUUUAAAUGCGACUCAUACCCAAAUGCACACCAUAAACCAUAAACAUAUAUUAACCGCAUUGUAGAAUCGGAGGCCGCAGUGUUACAGCGGGUUAAACCGCUAGGCUGCAGAACUUGCUGGUCAGAAGGUUCGAAUCCAAGGGACAGGGUGAGCUCCCAUUGCUAGCCCCAGCUUCUGCCAGCCUAGCAGUUCGAAAACAUGCAAAUAUAAGUAGAUCAAUAGGUACCGCUUCGGCAGAAAGGUAACAGCACUCCAUGCAGUCAUGCUGGCCACAUGACCUUGGAGGCAUCUACAGACAACGCUGGCUCUUUGGCUUAAAGAUGAACACCACCCCCAGAGUGGGACUCGACUACACUUAAUGUCAAGGGGAAACUUUUACCUUUAGAAUAUGUAUAUGUGGACUAUUUCCCAUGUCAUCCUCCUCCUUCCUCAUUGACUGACUGGAGUUCCCUUCAAACAUCUCUCUAUUUCUGAAAUCCUUUCAUUUCCCCAUUUUUAGAAGUGUCCUUACAAUAUUAUUACAUCAUCUGCUUGGGAUUGUUGUUUUAAUUGAGCAAAUAUUGGAACAGCAAUGAGAUAUAUAAUUUAAUUCAGUGGUUGUAGUGGUCCCACUCCUUAGAUACUGUGUACAAUCCAAAUCAUGGAUUUUUGUGCCUCUCCUUGCAAAUGGACAUAGCUUGUAAUAAUCCAUUUCUUAGCAUCUGGCGAGGGAAAGUAUACUGUGUUUUUUUUUAAAUAGCUUUGGGAAUGACAGUGGUUGCCAGCUGCAUAAACAGCACUAACCCAGCGGCAUUGUUCAGUCAUUGGGAGUGCCUAGAAUCUCAUCUGAUUAGUGAAAAUCUGUAAUUAUUAGGGCAGUUUGUCAGCAUUUUCUUUUAAGCAAAAUAAAAAGCCCAAACAUUAAUCUACUUUUUUGUGUCAAAAAAGUAGCUAGAGGGGUUUUUUGAAGGAACUUCCUGAAAAGAGCACUACUCCUUUCUGUGAAGAGAUCUUUACUCAUUAUCAGAGCUUAAGAAAGUUUCCAUGGGUACUAUAAGAAGCUGUAUCCCCUGGUGGUUGGGUAAUUUGGGAAUUGCAGUCCAAAAAAGUAAAUUUCCUAUAAAGUGUUAAUUGUUGGAGAGAAAGGAGAACAGCAACCUUCUCUUGUGAAUUGUUUAGCAUACUUCACACAAAUUCGUACUGCACUGGAUAGUGGGAAUGGAGAGAUCACAACUUCACAGGGAGCAUUGUAUGCGCUGCAGGAUUGGACUGGUCCUCUGGUCGUAUUUGUCAGUGCCCUGCUCUAUUUCAAGAUGCUUUUCUUUAUUUCGACAUUUUCAAUAGGAGUGUACACAUCUGUCUUUAUACCCAGCAGCUUUCCUGGCCCACAACAAGUCCUCUGUGAGUUUCCCCAACCAAGCUCAGUGGGAUCUCUGUCAGCUGCAAGAUUUAUGUCAUCUUUUUCCAUCCUGAGAACUGUUCCUUAAGCUUUUCACAUCUGGAUUUAAUUGGAAAGACAUUAAAAGACAUUAAGUGUGCUGGAAAAGCAUAUUUUAGGCGGGAUCUUUAUAGACACUUCCAUUAAAGAAGCUAACAGUUAGAGGUUGAAGUGGGAUGCGGACAAGUCAUCAGCCAUUAUCAAGGACAAAAUUGCACUGCUAACUGCUUCACAGCAGUUCCUCAUGGAGACCCUAGGCCUAUUUCUGACCUAACCCACUCCAGUGUAAAUCAGGAGCAAGGCAGCACUUGAAGAAGCUUUUUUCUUUAAUUUUAUGAAACAGAGCACACUUGGGCAUUUUUCAUUUCUGGUGUACUACCUGUAAAAUCUUUUAAAAUAUAGUGCCUCGUUUAAUCUCUUGCUGUUAAGUUUUACAUAUUCAAUUUGAGUUUAGUUGAAGUUACAUUGAGGAGUGAUUUUCAGCACAUAAGAAAAAAUGAGAGCUCAUUGUUCAUAAAUAUAGCUAAAGACUUUAUUUUUAUAGCACAACUCACUGCAGCAUCAUAAGCCAGCUAACCCUAAAUGGUUAUCCAAAUAUUAAUCAUUUUAGGGGUCAGUGGAACAGAAUAUUUGUAUCUAGGAAUAUGUUUUACCUGUCACCUGCUACUUUAUUAUAUUGCAUUAGAGGGAAGAAAGGAAGCGGAAUCACUUCAUUGGGUCUGUGGGGGAAACCAGAUGGCUUUGGCCCUUCUUCACCCUCAACUGUUCCUGUUGUAGUUGUUAUGAACUUUAGAAUUGGUACCAAAUUGCUUUGUUUUCCUCUUCCAUCUCUAUCCAUUUUACCUUUCUUUUGUGUAAGCCUGCAAACGAAGACAUUUUUUGUUUGUUUUUAAAGCCUUUUUAAAGCCUUUUCACCUUUUCAAAUGAAGAAAGGGAUAAAUAUGCUUUAAAUAUAUAACAUACCAUUAUGCAAAGUCCAUGCUGUCAUCCAUAACUUCAUGAGUACUCAGUGCAUUCUCCCCUUAGGGCAGAGGUCCCCAAGCUAAGGCCCGUGGGCCAGAUGCGGCCCUCCAAGGUCAUUGACCUGGCCCCCGCCCUCAGUUUUAGACUUAGGCUCGCCCAAAGUCUGAAAUGAUUUGAAGGCACACAACAAGAACAAUCCUAAUUAACUUGACUAUCUCAUUGGCCAGAAGCCAAUGUUUAUAUUGGAAAGCUCUUAUUGUACUUUUAAAGGUUAUAUAUUAUUUGAUGCCAUGGACAAUGGCUAGUACAAUAAACAAUUCAAUUCUCCUCUUCAAUGGCCAGAACAGGCCUACACUUUCCAUUGAACUUCAAUGGCCUACACUUCCCAUUGAACUCCUGAUAGAUUUAUGUUGGUUAAAAUUGUUCUUAUUUUUAAAUAUUGCAUUGUUCUUUCAUUGUUAUUGGUUUUUUGUUUUUUGUUUUUUGUUUUUUGCACUACAAAUAAGACAUGUGCAUUGUGCAUAGGAAUUUGUUCAUUUUUUUUUCAAAUGUUAAUUCAGCCCCUCAACAGUCUGAAGGAUUGUGGACCGGCCCUCUGCUUAAAAGGUUUGAGGGUCCCUGUCUUAGGGUAUGCGAAGCAGUUAACAAUUUUGAAUAUUUGUAAGCACCAGAGCUUCGGGGUGUACUAAAGUAACAAUGAAACAUGGUUCCAGUAUAGUAGACAAAAGCCCAGUGAGAACUGGUUUUAAAGUUGUUGUUGUGUGUGUUAAAUCUGUUUUUUUUUGUUUUUUUUUACUAAUUGUGACAUUAUCGUGGAGUUUUUGUGGCAAGAUUUGUUCAGAGGGGAUUUGCCAUUAAUUCCCUCUGAGACUCGGCGAGUGUGACUUGCCCAAUGUCACAUGGUGGGCUUCCAUGCCUGAGUUGUCUCCAAAGGUGCAGUCCAAUACUCAAACCACUACACCAUGCUAGUUACCCCUGAAAGUCUUAAUUAGCUAUUAAAUUUCCAAGUUGUUUCGGGCAUGUCAUUCUUUUACACUCAAUAACAUGAAGGAAUACAAGUUGAGCGUCCCUUAUCCCUAACUCCAAAAUCCAAAUUUGUCUACAUGGUUUACUGAGACAGUGACACCUCUAUUUUCUGAUAGUUCUGUGUACACAAACUUGGUUUCAUGACCAAAAUUAUUAAAAACAGUAUAUAAAAUUCAGACUAUGUGUAUAAGAUGUAUAUGAAGCAUAAAUGAAUUUUGUGUUUAAACCCAAAACAUUUCUGGACCCAAGGAUACUCAACUUUUAAUGGCUUUUCUCUCAGAAUUGUUGUGAGAGUGAACAAGGUAAUUACAGAAGCUUGUCUCUCUGUGCAGUGGAACAGAAGAGUAGCAGUCAGUCUUGACUAUUUAAACAGUUUUAUGUAGUAUGCACUGUGCAAAAUGAUGUACUCUAAUCUAAAACUGAACGUGAGCAUUUACUGUUAUGAAGUAAUGUCUCACUGUUACUAACAAUUUAAAGUGCCUGACUGUAUGCAGACUGAUAGGCAUUUAACUAUAGGCCUUCACAUGGGGGAACAGUCAUGUAAUCCAUCUUUUUGUGUCCUUAAUAUAUUCUUAAAAUAAAUGUGAUAUUCAAAGGUUUCUUUCUAGAGCAAAAGCAUCUGUGGCUAAACAAAUAGACCUUUGAAAUAAUAUCCUGCCUGUCUUUAAAGUGAAAAAUUGUGUGUGUAUAUGCAUGUGUUUUCCUUUUUAUCUUUCAAUAAAAGCAAAACAAAUAGUGAAAAACCUCCCUCUGUAAACCAUCCCAGCAAAACAAAUGGAUUUGUUUUAUGGUCCUCCACCUACUUGGGGGUGAGAUGUGCUCACUGUCUAGAGUACAUUCACAUGAGCUUCCUUUACAAAGCCAUUUCCUCUCAGAAAGUGUUGCUUUGAGUUAAUUCCACCCCAAUGCCUCACAUAUGUGAUCAUAUACAAUCUCUUCUUAAGUAGUAUAUGCCAGAGGGAAGGUAGUAGUUACUGGACUUAGAAGAGGGUAUAAUCAAGAGUAAGAUAGGUUAUGAAUAUAAUGUUGUUUUUUCAUAGUGAAAUUAUAUAAUAAUAAUGUAAUGAUUUUAGGAUUACGCUAUCUAAUUCUUAAUGAGAGAGGUAUCUUCACCCAUCAAAAUCUAUGUACAAAAUGAACCUACUGAUAUUCUUUUUUCCAAGUUAAAACCAAGACUUUAGUAAGGCUCCUAUAUCUGUGGGAGAUAUGUUCCAGCCAGACCACCGACUCCAGAUCAUAGUUACCUAAAACCAUGGAUAUGACCAAACAUCAUUGAAAUUACCUGACUUCCAGUCGGGUAAUUUCCAUAUAGUUGCCCUAGAAAAUAGUCCUGGAGAGAUAUUCUUUCUAGGAUUAUGCUAGGUCAGUGCAGGGAAGACAGUGACCCUUUUGCUUGGUGGGUGGUUCCCUGUGUCAUGUGGUAGUGUCCAUAGCGUUCUAGAAGAGGCUGCACUCUCCACAAAGGAUGAGGUUCAUAUUUUGAAGAUACUGUUCAAGCCAAUCUCUAGCACAAGAAGCAAAUGUUUUCGCUGCGCAUGGUGCACCGCUCUCACUUUAGACCAGUGGUUUCCAACCUAUUGGCCUCCAGCUUACCAGCUGUUAGGGAAUAUGGGAGCUGAAGUCCAAAAACACCUGGAGGCCCAAAGGUUGGGAACCACUGCUUUAGGCUGAUAAACCCAACUGCAUUACUGCCUGAGAGGACAUAGCUUGAUUUUACUGAUCUAGUAACCUCCCCUAUUGAAACUGUUUAAUUUUAGUGCUGUUUUUUCUCCAUGGCUGCUGUUUUUAGAUUGGUUUUUGUUUUUUGGGGGUUCUGUCUUAAUAUCAGUAGUCCUUGCUAUCCAGAUUUUUAUUUCUGCUGCUGUUUUUGAUUUUGAUAGUACAGUACAAGCCAUGGGAUAUACAUUGCCAGACUUUUCAUUCAUAUGCAAAACCACAAAUAAUAGCGAACCCUGUAGAACUGAAGAACAUGUGGCUCAGGAAUACCUAGGAAAUGCCAAAUAAAUAAAUAAAUAAAUAAAUAAAUAAAUAAAUAAAUAAAUAAAUAAAAGAGUAUGUAUUUUGUAGAACAUUGAUAAAUGAAAGCAUGGAUACUGGUUCUGUGGAUAUGGCGGUGAUAUUUUUCAACUCAAUUUUAUGGAUUUAUUCUAUUACAGAAGGAUUCAGCUAUGCUAUGGAAUGACUCAUAAAAUCAUGAAAUCAUGAAAUUAGUAAUCAGUAGUAAAGUAUUAAGAAUGGACAUUAAUGUUUGUUUUUGUAAACCACACUGGAAACAUGAUAGCAAUCUACAAAACAACGAAAAUAAUUUUACUAUAGACAAUCGGAGUGCAGUUGAGAGUUUGCAUGAUUAUCUGUUCUCUCCUAUAAAAGGUAUUAUCCCAGAAAGGUAGAGCAUGCUAUAGUCGAUUAGGAAAAUAAGUGUAGUAGAGAGAAGGUGGUACAGUAGAGUAGUCAUUCUCAUCCUUUGGUCUUCCAUGUUUUGAAGUUAUCAGAAGCUCCAGUCAAUUCUCAGAAUCUUCAGCUCUCAGCCAGCAGAGAGCUAAAACCUUAAAACAUCUAAGACGCCAAGCUUUGAAAAACACUGCUGUAAAUUGUUUCUAGUCUAAGACAAGAAAUACCAAGAUGUUUGUUUAUAAAGCUAUUGUCCUCCCAAUCCUGUUAUACGGCUGCAAACCAUGGACGGUCUACGGAUGUCACACUCAACUUCUGGAACGAUUCCAUCAGUGUUGCCUUCGAAAAAUCCUGCAAAUCUCUUGGGAAGACAGGCGGACAAAUGUCAGCAUGCUGGAAGAAACAAAGACCACCAGCACUGAAGCGAUGAUCCUCCACCAUCAACUUUGCUGAAAUUGCCAUGUUGUCCAAAUGCCCAUUCAUCAUCUCUGAAGCAGUUACUAUACUCUCAACUCAAGAAUGGAAAUAGAAAUGUUGGUGGACAGGAAAAGGGAUUUAAAGAUGGGCUUAAAGCUAACCAUAAAAACUGUGGCACAGACACUGAGAACUAGGAAGCCCUGGCUCUUGAGCGUUCUAACUGGAGGUCAGCUGUUACCAAUAUUGUUGUGGCUACUGAAGUAUUGUAAUGCAUUAGUUGUGAGUCGUUUUGAGUCCAUAAGGAGAAAAAAGUAGGAUAUUAAUAAACAAUAUAAUAAUGAUAAUGAUGAUAAUAAUAGUAAUAGUAAUAAUAAUAAUAAUUUGAAAAGGCACAAAUGGAGGGUGAAAGAAGAAACGUGUCAAGAAGAAGGCACGUCAAGCCAACCCUUGUCAGGACCACCUUCCAUCUGGAAACCAAUGUCCUCACUUUGAAAGAACAUGCAGAUCAAGAAUAAGUCUUCACAGUCCCGCCGCCAAGACCCUACAUUUGGAAGGCAAUCAUACUUAGCUGCGAGUGAUAGCUUAUGAUGAUGACAUAAGACAAGAACCUUCAUGAAUCCCAAAUGUGAAACCAAGAGGACCCUUUCAGCUUAAUCUCCUGAAGGAAAGACACAUGUGCAUAUGUAUGCAAAGGUACAUGUAUAUGUGUAUAUGCACACUUCCCAAGCCAUAUGGCCCUCCCUAAAAUGAAUGAAUGAAUGAGCAGGAAACUGUAUAUGUUCACUAAAACAUUUGGUGAGGUGAGUAGCCAAGUGUGGUUGAAGGUCAGCACAAUCUAGUAUUAACAGAAAGGGGGUUGUUUUUCUUUGUUUUUCUCUUUUCCUAAAGAAUAACAGUCUCAGAGAUUAAGUCAAAGUACCUAUUCUAGUUGUUUGCCUGCUGUUAUUGGGCAGAAUGAAAAGAUCAGAUCACCUAAUAUGGAGUAUGAGUAAGUACCUUUGGCUGUUGGUUUCUGUUUGCUGUUUAGAUGAUGGAAAUCACCUUUAUGAUAUAUUGAGUUAAAGAUAGUGUUUACAAUACUAAGUGGAAGACAUGAGCAAAUACAAACAAUGAAUUAGACUUUGCCAAAUAUGUAGGUGGGUUUAAAAAUACACUCUUGACUGAUGUUGACAGAAAAAAACGUUAUGUUCUUAACACAUUGGAGGAAGGAGAGCUUUUCAAGAACAGUUAAUCCUUGCUUAAAGUUCUUUGUGAUCCCAGCAAUCUAAUUUGUGUCUGCAAUUGUUGUUUGUCAGGUAAAUGUUACCCACAUUGGACAGGGUAUCCUGAACAUAGUUCUUCUUAAUUAUUUUAAAUAUUACAUUUCUCCAUCUUUGCCUUAGGAGAAGUUUUGUUCCUCCCUCCCUUUAGAUUCCCCUUUAAUAGGCACAGUUAUUAUCCAUAUUCUAAUUCAUACUAGGUAAAUAUCCGCUUCUGCAGUGACUAAUCCCUUUUCAUGUAAAUUGCAUGAGUUAAUCAGCUUAAUAUAGCGGGGAAUAACAGGUUCAGGGAAAAAGGGUCUUAAAGCCAGGUAAUUAAAACUUGCCUUGUGCAGUAUGAAUAACUGUUCCAAAAUUAAAUUUUUAAACAGAUGUUGACCUUGGUCUGUGUGAAAUCUAAUCAACUGGGGGGUGGUAGUGCCUGGUAACAGAAGGUUGUUAAAAGAUUCUUUGCUGAAGUCAUUGGUUCUGAAUGCAGGUUACAAAGGAGCUCAUAUUAGUUUCUGAGUCGUAAUUAAACAUGUUAGCGAUGUAGCAAAUUAAGGUUUAACUGGAGUCCUUUUACACCACGUGUCUGCAUACACACACACACACACACAGACUCAUGAUACAUACAUGCAUAUAGAGAAGGACAUGAAUAGGAGGUAUAUGGAAGUUUUUGAAGAAUUAUACACCUAAAGAGAACUUAACAAACAUUAUGAACUGAUGUCUAUCGAGGCUAGGUUUCUUGAUUGCUGAAGUAGGGUUGAUCUUUAGACUGUAAGAAGGGAUUCGACAAUCAGUUCUCUUUUCAGAAAUGUAGACUUGAAUUAACACACAUGGAAACCAUAAACAUGGAAUAGGAUGGGAGAAGUGUAGAAGGAAAAGGGUAUUUCAAGGACUGUGGCACAAAGAAAGAAGGCUACAGAAUUAUCACCACUUACUGUUUUGCUUCUUUUCUUGCCCCUUAGACUGAUCUGAAACAGUAACUAAAGGAUUCUUUCGAAUCCUAGUUCCCACUCUGCCUUUCCCAUUCACUAUUAGCCUAAGCUGCCACGGGAGACGGGCACUCAGUUUGUGAAGUAUUGUCAUGAAAGAGUCAUGUGUUGGUAUGAAGGGACCAGAAGGCAAUUUUGGCAGGACAGUUUAGCAGUCAUCCAGUUCCCUACCACACCAGAUUGCAUCAACUUUACAUUACUAAUUGACUCUGUUUUUAUCACAACUGUGCUAAAUGACAAGUGUGGUAUAGACAUUACUAUGUUAAAAAUGUAAUCAGGACUUUUAGAUAAAUUUUAAAAUAAAUAAAACAACUAAUUUUUGAAAAUCCUAAGCAAAGAAUAGAAAUGUUCCAAAACAUGCUUUAAAAAUAAAUCAUUCUGGAAUUCUUCAGACAUUUUUCAUACACUAGAAAUUUCACCCCUACAUACUUUUAAAGCUAUCUCCUUAACAUAUUCAUAAUCCUUUUGCUUUAAUAAAAUUCAAGAACUACAGUACUACAGUAAUUAACUUUUGUCCAUAAAUGACAGAAUUAGAAUGAAAUGCUGUGUUUUCCAAACAGAAAAAGCCAGUUGUCACUCUAUUGAUUUCAGCCUGCUAGAGCAGAAUUAAUUGAAGACGCUCUCAAAUGUACACCAUGAUCUAUGCUGUGUUAUAGAGGUGUUAAACAUCUAAGCCCAUCCUCAUCUUGUUAAACACGGGGCAGAGGUUUGUGGUGGCAUAUCCAUUAUAAAUUCAGCCUAUCCACUUCUGUAAGAGAUAUCUAUAGCAGAUCUAGUAGUAGUUUUCCUGGUUGGCAUCAUACCUAGCAACAAUGCGAGGAAACGCAGAGAAAGCAUUGCAGUUUUUGUCAGUUGGAAUCUGGAUGGCUCAGAUCCUAGAAGGAGGAUCCAAGAGAUGUCUUGGAAGGGAAUAAAUGAUGUUAGUCUGAAUAAUACAAUAUUAACAUUACUAGGGGCUUGUCUACACUGGCCUUAUGCCCUGGUUUUGACCGGAUUUCUGUUCUGUAUCAUUAGGACAUUCAGAUGAUGUCCAGGGGCAAAAUUCAAGUAGAGUAAGAAGAGUAACAGAACUAAAUACUGACUUACAUGAGGUAUCAGGUUUGUUUCAAAGCUUUUGUGUUGCUAGUUUGAUUUUCACAUUUGUAUAGUCUUGUUUUUACCUUAUUUGUUCUGUAGUUUUACACUGUUAGUUGUUUUCUUGUUACUUUUACUGCAUAAUAAUUCUAUAAAUUAAUAUGUAUUUAUCCUUACUACCAACAUGGACAUUAUGUUUUACAAGCAAUGUGCUCACUGUUACCUUCCCUUUUUUGUCUCAGAGUUCAAAUUGUGGUUUCGUUCUUGAUUUGCAUUAGAUAGAUACAUUUUUUUUCUAGGUUCAGUUCAAGAGCUUGGAUUUUAUCUUUCAUGUCUUUAAAGUUUGAACAACUUGGAAUCUGGGUAGAUUAAGAAAGGCCAAACAGAAAGUAGAUUGGAUCUACUGAUAGCUCACUGGUAAUUUGCAGUAGAUUAGCAAAGAGUUUCUAAUUCCCACUCCAUUAACAGUCAUGACGCCAAAAGGCCUUUCUUCCCUUCCUGUUGAAAUUUUUAAAAGCUUGGAAAAACAUAAGUAGUUUUAUAUGGGAAACGGUUUCUAUAUGAAUUGUAUUUCUGGUACUUAAAUUCCUGAGCAUAGCAUGUAUGCAGAGACACCUGGUUCUGCCAUUCUCUAUCUGCCUCCUCAAGCCACAGUUUUGCACCUGGCUUUGGAUGCUGGGCCUUGAGUUUCUAGUGAAAAACAAACUUUUCACUAAAAAAAUCAGUCUGUCCUUGGAUAGCUUCCAUCCACAUCAUUCCUGUGUCCUCUUUGUACUUUCUGUUCUACAUCUAUGCUCUUUUUCUGUGUUCCCUGUGGAUCAAAGUGAAGCAAAUGGACUUCACUUAACACCUUCUGGAAUAAUUUGCGCUAAGGGAAGCCUUUCUGGUCCCGUUGCUAGUUACUUCUUGUUGCUUGGUGAAAACUUGGCUUUUUAGGUUGGCCUUAGUUGGUGGCUAAGAGUGGAGCAUUGUGUCCCUUAUAUUCCUUACUGCUGUGAGUUGUUUUGUUCCUUUUUAUUGGUUUUUCACCUGCUGUUAUAUUGUUGUCAUUUUUGUUGCUUCUCUUCUUUAUUUCUGCUGUUUUGGGGUUGUUGUUUUUCUCUUUUGAGGCCCUGGGGACGUUUCUAGCUCGUUUGUUGUUGUCGUCAUUGUUGCUGCUGCUGCUGCUAACGACUUUGAUUUGCUUACCAAAAUGAUGCAUAAAUAAAUAAAAAGCAUUGAACACACAAUGGUUGUAUAUUCCAGGACAAUUAACAAUGAUUUUUUUUUCUCCACCUUCCUUUUCCUACAACUAGGGCUUGUGGACACUUACAAAAUUGAAAAACCACAUAUAGAGAACAACAUAUGACGGGGUUAGACUAGAUGGCCCAUGUGGUCUCUUCCAACUCUACUAGUCUAUGAUUCUAUAUAAUAACAUUGUUACAGUGUAAUGAUGCUAAUUUAUCUAUAGAACUAGACAGAUUUUAGAUGCACCUAGUGUGUGUGGGAGAGGAAUAUAGUAUGAGGGGAGGGGAGGAAAGAAAGAAGUGAAGAGAAAGGAAAGGAGAAAGCUACAAAGCCACAAAGAGCACCUUCCCACCAUUGCCAGAGUGUUGCCAUGAAGGCAUUGUGAGGUAGGUAGAGCUAAAGAGGGGAGAUAGUAGAUGGACAGUAAUCCCAACAAUCCCCAGGCAACACCAGUUUUGUAUUACUAUUUUGUAAUACUAUAGUUUUGUAAUACUAUUGGUAUUAAUGUAGAAUUAUAGUCAGAUACAUUCCUAGUCAAACAUUCUUGUCAUUCGUCUCCCUAAUAUGGCUGCCACCAUUUUUAUAUUUGAAAAUAAGUUCUACUGAACUCACUGGCACUUCCUUCUGAGUUGUGUUGCACAGUAUUGCAAUUUAAGCAAAUUAAGAGCAUUAAAGAAACCCCUUGAUAAGAAUUAGGAAAUAGCUUUUUGCUCUUUGAAAAUGGAAGUCAUAACUUUAUGUUAUGUGUGUUUAUUGCUGUAAGUACUCAUGUCAGUUCCUUAGCAGGAGGAGUAACUACAGGAAGUCUUAAGACAGACUUUCUCCCUAUGCACAGAAUAUAUGCCACUCCCGGUAAGAUGAAGAGGAAAGGCACACACAAGAGUACUAUUAAGGAACAUCUUGGGAAAAAACUAAAAUGCAUUGUAGAUGUGAAAAAAUGAAGAAAAUACAUCUGUAUAGUGUACUGAAAAACAUUAAAUCAUUAUCGUAAGAACGUGAAUUGAAAUCACAUUUUUCUAGAGCAGCCACUAUGUGCAACUGCUUUGUGUAAGGAUGAUCUAAUGUUAUUAAAUUGUCAUUACAAAAUAUCCAAUUCCCCACAGAGAGGUAACGAGGGGGGAAGAAAUUAACAAAUUUCAGUCUGAUUUGCUAAUUGCUAAUUGGCUUAAGGAAAGCUUAAAAUGACCAAGCUGAUUGGAAACAUCCACCUCCAACCAGAUCCAGACGCAUAUUUAUAAUAGAAAGAGCAGCCAAGACAAACAAAAAAGCAGAGUCAAGCAUCCUGUUGGCAUUGUGUUUUUGGCAUCAUUGUAUCUACAGAAAACAAGUGAUACAUGAAAUGUGUAAAGACAUCUGUUUCAUAACCUAUGGGGCUUUGCUCACAAAGCAGUUGUAAAAUCUUCUGGGGGAGAGAAAUAUUUCUAUAUAUCUGUGCAGAUGCUCUUUUGUAAGGAAACAAAUCCAUUUGAGGAAGUGCUCAGCAGUCAGAAAAAGAACUUGUCCACUGAAAUCUGUGUCAAAUAUUUAUUUCUCACUGCUGUUAAUAUAGGAAGAAUUUGCUAUCAGGUAACACCUACAUAUAUCAGGUCAAGUUCAUCUGAAUUGUAUAAAAAACACUAUGUAACAUGGUUUUUUGUCCCUGUGUUAUAAAUGUCAUUUCCUAAUUGGUUCUGUAAUAAAAACUUGGAAAAAGUGUAUACUGCAGCACAUUUUGCUUUAGUUUUUCACUGAAUAUCCCAAGUCUCAACCAAUUCAACAUAGUUUGUGGCAGCCUCAAAAUGAUAUUUCUGGAGUAUAACAACUAAUUUCAAAGUAAGUACUACACAAUUAAACAGGAAAUAACACUUUGAAACCAGGAACAGAAAUUUUGUUACAUAGUGUAAUCUUACAAUGAUGACGGAUGAGGGGGUAGAGGUGAAAUACCGAUAGACACAAGUGGGAGAUAAAGAUGGAAUCAGAAAGGUUAAUAUUACUAAGAAAAUAUCAUUUAAUAUGUAUAUUGAAAUGGUGAUGGAUUGUGAUAUUAUUCUAUCUGCCUUUAGAAUAAACACAUUUUUUUAAAAAAUGAUGACGUAUGAGGUUAGUUUGUUGUUUUUCAAGAUCCUUAUGACUGUAGACCAUUUAUUUUUUGUUAUUUUAUUUACUUACACACUUCAAGAGGACCUGAAAUCUUGUUGCAGUGCAAAAAGAAAAAACAUGUUGUAGAAUUGUCAUGCAGUUCAACACAAGUGGUUCUACACAGGCAUUAAAUCUAAGUUAGGAAGUGGAUUGAAAGGAAUUGGUUCCACUUUCCAAUACACAAACACCCCAGGAACCAAUUUGAGGCUAAGCUGGUGACCACAAUAUCAGUUGAUUAUGGAUUGGAACUGAACCCAAGAAUUGAUUUUAUCCUUACCAAGUCUACUGGGAUGUACUGAUGUAUAUCUCCAUGUCCAUUUGGGAUCAGCCCUGGACUGUGGCAAGGCACAGAAAAUGAGAACUAAGGAGUAAAAAGUAAGAGUCUCCAUGGAAAUGAUGUAGUUUCACUUCUGGGGUAGUAACUGCUUAUCUUCUGGCAAGCUAUGUUUCAGUGUUUCAUAGGCUUCAUCAAUGCCAGUGGUGUCCUAACAAGAGCUCUGUAUUUUCCCAUCAGCUUUCAAGCUCUAUAUGGGCUGUACUCUGAUCGGCUGAAAUGCGAUUUUUUACUUAUUCCAGACUUUGUGGUGAUAUUUUUAAUGCACUGUUUCUUGCUUGAUACAUGAUGCAGCAAACAUUGAAGGUGUACAUUUUGUGGACACCUUGCUCUCUGUUGUCUUCAAACUGCAUUAUGUGAUUUGUGUAGGACCAUCCUCAGUCAAAUAUUGAUUCUUUACCUGACUUCUUCAGCCAAUCUUCAGAUCUGAAGC